AAUAAAUAUAGUACUAUUAUUUUUAAAAUAAAUACAAUAAUAUUAUAUUUAUUAAUUCUCUAUUAAUAUAAUAAUAUUAUUUUAAAAUAAUUUUAACUUAGAAUCAAUUCAAAUUAUUAUUUAGUUAAAUAUAAUAAUAUUAUUCAAAUAAAUAUAAUAUUAUUUAUUUUAUUUUAUUAAUUAUAAAAUAUUAAAUUGAAUUAAAAUAAAAUAAAAAAAGGAUAAAAAAGGAAGAGGUGGGAGUGGAUUCCCACUCCCACUCCCCACUCCAAAAAUGGGUGGGGCCCACGGAGUGGGAUUCUCACUCCUUCACUAAAUAAGUGAAGUAAACACUGGAGUGGGAGAAAUCCAUACUCUUCACUCCCACUCCAGAAAGUAAACACACCCUGAAAGUGAUGUAAAAAUAAUAGGUUAAUAAUUAAUAUUAAAAUCAAUUAAUACUAUAUACAAAAUAUGAAAUGGUUAACAACAUAUUAAUGAAUAUCUUAAUUAAGUGCUUAAAUUAAGUAUAACAUUAUUAAAGAAUUAUUCAACUUUUGGAGGUGCCGAAAGGAUAGUUGAUGCAUGUGAUAAGUCGCCUGAAGUGGACUAAGAAGUUUGAGAUUGAAAAUAACCAGAUAAUUAACCCUGUCAACUAAAAAAAUAAAUAAAUAAAAAGUGUGUCCUUUCUAUCAAUUUAGUUGUGAAAUCUUCUAUCAAUAUCAAUAUUCAAGAAAAAAGAUUGUCCACUCUGGCUCUAUCAAUAAUUAAUUAAGGCCGCGCGAGGAGCUACUCUUGUGUACUGAUAAAUAUAUAAACUAGCAUUACACAAUGCUUUUUAUCUGAGCUUUUUGACCCAAAAGAUUCCAACCUCUUAAAUUUAAGACAACUAGUAAGUUUUUAAGUGGAUAAAACUUGGGUUAAUACUUAUUUAGUUUUUAUAUUUUGAUAUAAAUGUUUAUUUUAAAAUUUUGGGUUAAUCUUAAUUUGUCAAAAGGUGAUUAUUGGUUAAUUUGCUAAUUAAUUUUUUAUAGAUUAAAUAAUUAAUUUUAAAAAUAUUAUUGUAAGGGUAUUAUUGUAAAAGUAAAGAAAAGUAAAGGUAAGAGCUUAACAUAUUUAAUAGUAGCAAUAUCUUGAAGUAUUUUUUUUUAAAUAUAAUGAUUAAAUUGAUACUAAGUUAAAAUAUAGAUACCAAACAUGUAUUUACCCUUUACGUAAUUAACCCACACACAUUAGUAAGAUUCGAAUUUAAACCUGAGUUUUGAGUUCAAAAAUUAAAUAUUAGGGAGAUUGUUCUUUAUCAUUGAAAUUAGACCUUAGCCUUAAUAAAUACUUAUUUAGUUGCAUUAAUUUGAGUUACUUAUUAUUAGUUCUUGUAUUUUAAAAAAUACCUUAAAAAUAAUCAUGUAAAUAGUAUUUUUAUCAACUUAAUUUUCAAACAAAUAUGGCAUGUAACAAUUAGAAAAUAAUAAAACUAAAUAGAUUUUAGCAGAAACUGAUAUACAAUAGGAAUUUUUUUGUCAUAUUUGAAAUAUGUAUACGGACUAGUUGACGAGAGAUUAAAAAAAAUAUUUUUCUUUUCUAAACAAGUACAAAUGUUUGUUGAGUUUCUCUACUGCAUCUAGUUUUGUCUUAAGCUAAUAUAUUAAUUCAUACAAUAUGGGAGAUUUAUUUGACUCUUUCGGUCUUUCUCACCUAAUAAAGGCCAAAUGGUCUUGGAUCUAUUGUAUUUGACUCUUCCAAAAAAAAAAAAAAAAGUACUUUUAUCAUUUUUCUUUGUGGAUCCCAAAGUUAUACUCUAUUGCUAGCAAGUUUUUAAUUUUUAAUUUAGAGGGAAUAUUUUUUUAGUUUUGAACUUUGUGAAUAUUUAAGGCCAUGUGACUCUUGACCUCUGGUAAACAAAUUUAAAGGAUUAGUGAAUGCUGAAUUGCUGAUACGUUUUAUCUCAAUUUCCAAUACUACAACUUGCAACUCCAAAAUUUCCAAGUAAUUGCAAGGUAGAAUAUUAUUUUUUUGACUUUGACUAUACCUAAUUUUGAUUUAAGCUACUAAUUAAAUCGAUCAGUAUUAAGUAACACCACAUGGUUUUGGUAUCUCAAAUAUUUCUUUCCUCACAACCCAAAACAAAGAGGAAGCAAUGACCAAUAGUACCUCUAAUUUUUGGUCUUACCCAACUUCCUCCUAUUUUUACUGUUAUAAUUUUGCAUGGUUCCACACAAAUAGCAAUAACUCUGAGCCAACCUGACCCAAAUCAAAUUCUUUAAGAUUUCAAAAAUUACUGAUUCAAGGAUAAUUGUUGCGUUGUUUAUUAGAUGGAUUUUUGUUAGUAGAGGUUACAAAAUUCUCAGACUUUAAAAACAAAUUCGGUUUGAGAAGAACUUAAUCAUAAAGUUUUUAAUUAAUUAAUGUAAUGUUGAGAGAGUAAAUUCAUGAGUUAUAGGUUCAUUCCUUCAAAAAUUUUGUUCUAGGUCCAGAUUUGAAGAAAUGAAAGAUAACGGCACUAAUAUAUGAAAGAGUAGUGCUAUAAAUUCUAAAUUUUUUUAUCCCAAAUAACUAUUUUAAAUGAUCCGACAUUUAUCAAUUGGUUGAUUAGAUGAUACAAUUAAUUUACUUUGAAUUUUGUAAAAAGUUAUCAACCAAUUAAUAAUGCCACAUCAUUUAGGAUAGUUAUUUGGGAAAAAAAAUCGAGAUGUCUCUCAUUACUCAUAAAAAAAAAAAAGAUUUCUAAAUUAAUAUUCAACAUACUUUUGAACUAAACAAACGUAUUUAUAUAGAAUCUCAAUAGAUUUUAGAGAUUGUGAUACAAAUGCGAAAUUUUAGCAAGCUAAAAAAAAAAAUUCCUGAAGUCAAACUUCCACCCAAAAUAAUUAAUGAGUGUUUUAGGCCUUUGCAGGCUUGAUUUGCUACCUUAUAGUUUGUAGCUCGAUGCGACAUUCGCUAAAUGGUUGAUAAUUUUUUAUAAAAUUUAAGUAAAUUAAUUAUAUUAUCUCACUACUAAUUAAUGAAUGCCACAUUAUUUCGAAUAGUUAUUUGGGAUAAAAAAUCAGGAAUACGUAAUACUAUUCUUUUUCUAUAAGUAAUUAUGAAAUUUUUUUCCUUAAUCCAUAUAUUUAAAACAAAUAAUUAAAAUGAGCCCCGUAAGAUUUUGAACUAAUGAUAUUUAUCUCAUCAGCCCUCACUUUCAAUUAACUUCACUUAAUUUUAAAUUUGCCCUUAUGAAAAAAAGAUAAAAACCUUUUUUUUUUCAAUUUCAUUUGUUCUCUCUCAUCUGUGUUCUCUCUCUCUCUCUCUCUCUCUUAGACAUUACCACGUAUUUCCCUCAGGGUGUGUUUGACACACUGUAUUGUAUUAUUUUAUAUUGCAUUAUUUCAAUACAAAUAUAUUUGUAUUAUACUAUAUUGCAUUAGCACUAUAUUAUAAUAAUAUUGUACAACGUUUGAUACUACACUCUACUGUAUUAAUUUUUUUAUUAAUUUAAAUAAUAAAGUGAUAUAAUAUUUGUAACAUAUACACUAAUAAAAUGAAUUGUAAUAUUGGUAUUAAUUUUAAAUUAAUAUUAUUUAAAUUUAUUCAUAUAUAAAUAUUUAUUAUUAGUUAUAUUAAAUUGUUAAAUAAUAAUCAAUUUUUUAUAUAUUAGUUACUGUAAUAUAAUUAAAUAAUGUAAUAUUAUGUUAUAUUUUUAUUUUUAUAUAUUAUUUAAAUACUUAUUAUUAUUUAUAUUAAUUUAUUCAAUAUUGAUCAAUUUUAUAAAUUAAUUAUUGUAUAAUUAAAUAAUACAUUAUUUAGUUAUAUUUUUAAUAUAAUUAAAGUUUUAUUUUUAAGUUGUUUUAAUUUGUACAAUUAUUUCAUUAAAAAUUUGUAGGCAUAUAUAAUUGUACUGUCCCUCUAAAUAUAAGAUUCAAGUUGUUGUUAUAAGUGUUUUUAUUGUUGUUAUUGUAUUGAUUUAUGUCAUGGAAAAUUGUCAAAAAAAUACCAUAAAAAAAGCUACCAAACCAAUAACAAUUAUAGAAAAAAACAACAAUUGUGCAAUUACAUGUUCAUCACUGUAAUUAGUUCGAUUUAGUCAAAUUCAAAUAUCAAUCACAUGCAUUGUUGUCUUUAUUACGUUGUUGAUGUAGCAAAUGUUGGAAACUUCCACUUCCAGAUCCUUUGUACAUCAUCGAAUGAGAAUGAUAAUGUGGUUGCAAAGCAUACGGUGGGAGUGGUUGUUGUAAUACAUAAAAAUUUAAAACAUGAUAUGAGAUUUUAGAAAUUAAAAAAUAUAAAUAUACACUAACAAAUUGUGAUUUUUAGAUCAAAACUUACUUGGUGCCAAUUAUAAGGAAAUGAUUGAUAAAUAUUGUGCACACUACCUUGGGUUGGGUAUAUAGGUAGUUACAUAAAUGAAAAAAUUAUAUAUGUAAAAUCGACAUUAAAAAUUAAAAAUUCAAUUUUUUUCACGAAUUACAUUCUUACAUUAUAGUAGCCUAAAACCCCGUAUUGGUUGAGAUUUACAUUAACAACACUUUGUUCCUAUGAUGUCUAUAUAUGUUCAAUAAUAUUUUUAGUUAUGUAUAUUCAAAAUAAAAGAAAAGUUUAACAUAAAAAUUCACAAACUUACCACGCCCACGUUGCUCUGCUACGUGGAGAAUUCAUUAGGCACUUCAUAAGAUGAUGGUGCAUCUUCUUCUAAAUCCUAUAAAAUUAUAACAGAUAAUUUAACAUAAAAAUUCAACAUAAAAAUCUAAUAAAAUGUAACAUAAAAAAUCAACAAACUUUAUUUAAAGACACUCAUCGCAUAUGCUAGAACGGCUUGCGCGACUGCCUUAUUUAAGAUCUCUUUUCCUCCACUAGAGAAACACUUCUGCUGCCAGCCAGAAAUCUUACUCUGAACCUUGAGCUUCACCUCAUUGAAAAAAUAUUUCUUCUUUCUACCGAUCAUAGAAGGCAUCCCCAAAUACUUCUCAUGCUUCGAGACCACAUUAAGCUGGAAAAUUCUCUUAAUGACUGAAAUCCAAUUCUCUUGGACAUUACCACUAAAAAACAUGCAAGACUUGUCAAAGUUGAAGAUUUGUCCAGAUGCCGCUGCAUAUCGAUCAAAUAUGUCCUUGAGGUGUUGACAGUCUUUGAGUGAAGCUCUGGAAAAGAUUAGACUGUCAUCUGCAAACAAGAGAUAUGAAAUAGAUAUAUGUGGUCUAAAUCUCAGCCCCUGUAUUUGAUUUUGCCUUUCAGCCUAUACCAAAAAAUUAAAGAAUGCUUCUGCAUAUAUUAUAAACAGGUAUAGAGACAAGGGGCAUCCUUGUCUCAGCCCCCUUUGAAGGCUGAUCAUGCCCUUGGGAGUCUCGUUGAUGAUAAUUGAGAAUGAUGGGGUAGUAAUGCAGUCCAUUAUUAACCUUAACCAUUUCUUCGUAAAGCCUAGCUUGCUCAUAGUCAGCCUUAAGAAUUCACAUUCCACUCUAUCGUAAGCUUUGCUAAUGUCAAGCUUCAGCGCCACCAACCCAUUUUGUUUUCCCUUACUAUGUCUAAUUCUGUGAAGACAUUCAUACCCAACAAUAAUAUUGUCUGUUAUUAAUCUAUUGGGGAUAAAAGCACUUUAGGAUGGGGCUAUCAUGGUUUGAAGGAUAGUUUUCAGUCUAUUAGCCAAGGCUUUUGCAACAAUUCUAUAGAUGACAUUACAUAGACUUAUUGGUCUAAACUCCGUGACUUUCCUAGGCUUAGCUGACUUAGGAAUAAGAGCAAUGUAAGUGUGGUUCAAGGGCGUAAUGGUACCUACUUCGUUGAGUAUGUGGAGGCAUGUGGUGAUUACUCAUUCUUUGACUGCUGUCCAAUGUUUUUUAUAGAAGGCAACAGGCAAUCCGUCGGGUCCUGGAGCUUUGGUUGGGCACAUUUGAGCAAGCGCUUCUGUGAUAUCCUCCUCUGUGAAUGGUUGGCACAGGAACUCAUUCAUUUUUUGUGAAACUUUAGGCAUCAUUCCUCGUAGAGCUUCCUCCAUUUGAGCUUGGGUGGGACUGGAAGUUGUGAACAGCUUCACAAAAUACCCGCAAAAUUCUUUCUCUACGUCUUCUGCUCCUCAGUCCAUUCUCCUUGUGCAUUCUCUAUUCCCCAAAUUAUAUUCUUUCUCUUCCUAGAUGAGAUUUUGAUGUGGAAGAAUUUCGUAUUUUUAUCACCCUCUUUGAGCCAAUAUGCUAUGGACUUCUGUUUCCAGUAGAUUUCUUCGUCAAGCAGAAGAUGAUGAAUCUGUUUCUCGAUAUCUUUCAAUUCCUCUCCACAUUUAUACUGUCUACUAUGCUUUUGAAGCUCCUUAAUUCUUUGCAUCAGCUCAUUCAACUUUUCUUUUCUACCCUUAAAAGUUUCCUGGCUCCAACAUUUCAGCUCUGCUAACGUAGCUUUGUGGGUUUUCUUUAAAGUUUGAACUGGAUUGUUCCCUAACCAUUCCUUUUUUUCAACCCACUCAUGCUUAACAAUCUCUUUACAAUCAUCAUACGAACUCCACAUAUCCUCGCAGUGACAUCUUGACAGCGUUCUUCUACUGUAGCCUGCUCCUUUAUUUUUGCUUACCAUUUCCAUCAUCAUUGGGUUGUGAUCAGAACACCACAGAAUUAGGUUCUUUGCAGCUCGGUCUUGAAAGGUUUGGGUCCAAUCUUCACUACACAAAAACAUAUCUAACUUUUCUUUAAUAAAUUGCGGGCCAAAUUUCCUGUUCGACCAUGUGAAAGGGUAACCUAUACAAUCCAAAUCCCUCAACUUACAGUCCCUGAUUGCCUCUCUAAAGUCAUUUAUCCAGUUGGCAUCUCUAUCAUUCACUCCAUUUUUUUCUCCCAAAUGCAGUAUUUUAUUAAAAUCACCAAAGUAAAGCCAUGGAGAUGGAGAUAAACCUGCAAGCUUGCGAAGUAGAGUCCAUGUGUGCUUUUCUGACUUACUUCCUGGUGUCCAUACACCCCCGUACAUCUCAUGUGUUUCCCGUUCUCCACUUCCACCUCGGCAUCAAUGUGGUGGCUGCUAUAGGAAGUAAUGUCUACCUUUAUGUCAUGAGCCCAUAACAUAGUUAUACCUCCGCUCUUGCCCCUACUGUUAACAGCAAAACAAUUUCCAAAAUUUAGCUUCCUUCCAACAUUAUUCAUUUGCACAGUCGAUAGUUUGGUUUCGCAUAGAAAAACCAGUUGAGGCUUGUACAAAUAGAGGAACUUUUGCAGGGCUUUGAACGUCCGGUCAUUCCCCAUCCCCCGGAUGUUCCAGCUUAAAAUUAUCAUGGCUAUCAGCGGGACUGAUUGUCAACCACCGCCGAUAGAGUGGUAAAUUGAGUAGUUUUAGCUGGUUCCUCUAUCUUUGAGCCAUCCCAGUUUAGUUCUUUGCUACAUGAAGAUAGCUGGUGAGAGGUUGUUUUUGCUGCAACAACUUUGUAGGCACUUUGAACCCGUGACUUCUUAUAAUUUAGGCUUACUCCUAACACUUUAUCACCUGGCCUUUUCCCUAUAAUUAGGCCAUCUUUCAUUGGCCCUUUAUUGCUUGCCUUUCUAGCUUGUGUCUUCUAUUUAUUUCUCUUGGGCCUUACCAUUUUUUCUCUUAGCCCGUCAUCAAUCACUUCAUCAGGGCUUGAGUUGCCUUAGUCUUGGCUUUGACUUGUGUUUGAAACUUGAUUUAGCUCCAAAUCGAGCGCCAAAUUUCCAUUUGUUCCCUCCCACUCUUCUGUUCCCGCUUUUUCUUGAUUAUUUCCAUGAACCUUAGCUCUACCAUCUAUGUUUUCAGCUGUUUUUCUACUGGGUUGCUUCUGACUGUAGACUUGCUGCUCCCUUGGUUCCAGUGUCAUCAGCAUUAAUUGUCCUCUAGUCUUAGUUGUUUGCCCUUCAUUCUCACCCGGGUUUGAUUGAUUUGGCCUUGACCCAUUUUCAUCUUGGUCCCUACCCGUUUGGCUUGCCCGAUUUCUUCUAUGAUUUUCAGAAUCUGUGUGUCCAUUGGUGGUCUGCUCAAACCUCCUAUUCCAUAUUUCCCUCCCCCGAUUCAACUUUGUUUUUUCAGCUUUGGACAACGCCUUCAUAUACGUUCCAUAGGGAAAUUUUUCCUUUGAUUGCCCCUUGUAUGCUUCACACUCCUUGAAUUGGUGUCCGAUAAGCCCACAACAAAAACAAAAUUCUGGGAGUCGUUCAUACAACACUGGUAACUCCACCUCAUCUUCAUCCUCAAGCUCCAGGAAAACCAUUUUCUAUAACGAUUUUGUUAUGUCAAUGGAUAUCCUGACUCUCGCAUAUGAGCCUAUACAUUCACAUUCAUCGUCGGUUUCCACUUCCAAGACCUCUCCAAUUAAUUCUCCCAGCUUUUGAAUGCUUUCUCGUUCCAUACACCCCAUUGGUACAUUAUGAAAUUAGACCCAAAUUGCUGUGUGUGUGAACUUCUAUCUUCUUAUAUUCCCGAUUCCACUGGGUUCCAUCAAUACAAUCAAGGCCCUAUCAAAAUGCCAUGGCCCUCCAGCCAUCACUUUUCUCUUGUCAAUUUCCGAAUCGAACUUGAACAAAAAGACAUUGUUUCCCAAGUUUUCGAUCUUCACUUCCUUGUUUGUCCUCCAUGCUUGCGCCAAUGCUGUCCGGAUUCCUUCGGUGUUUGCACUUCUAGCUAAUAGAAUCUUGCCCACUAACGAAUUUCCCACUAUAUGGCCUCCCUUUUCUUUCAUUCUGCUUCUAAGAGAGAGUUUACGCUUGCUGUCAUCUUGGAUAGAGAUGGCUUUACACUUGCGUAUUAACUCCUCUAUGUCCAUUGAUGGUGGGCACAGUAAAUGCUUCCCUCCUAAGUACCCUGUAUUUAAGACUCUCGACUUUAAUUAGGUAAUAACAGAACUAUAACCACUCAAAUACGUGAGUGAACAAAUUGAGCCAUUAAAGCCCCAACCUACUCCAUUCUGUUGUUCUCUUUCAGAGAGAAAGAGAGCAUUUUAGAAGGAGAAAAAUCCCUUACAUGCUUUUAUGCAAGGAUGAUUUAGAUAAACUGAAAUUGCCUUUUCAAAUAAGUUGAAGAUAAAAAAUCUUAUUUGAAGAGUAUUUUGGUGAUGCUCUAAUAUGCAGUAAGAGAAUAACUAGGGUGUUAAAAUGUGUAGAGAAUAAGUAGGUUGUUAAAAUGUAUGGUCCAACUGAGAGUUAGGUACAUUGUGUGGUCUACGUGCGUCUGCCAAGUGCAUGGAGUAGUGUCUAAAUAGGUGCAAGCUCUCACAAAUUAAACAAUGAAGCCCAAAGCUUAGUUUAAAAAAAAAAAAAAGCCGUAAAAUAAGCUCUCUCAUGGGUAAAUUCUCUAGACGUUCACACCUACUUUAAAUUCACCUCUUUUCACCGACAGACUUUCCCCUGUAGCCCUAAAUGUAUAAAUAGAGAUGCUCGUCUCUGAUUUCAACUCAAGCCAAGAAAAGCAUUUACAAACCUCUCUCGCAAAUAUUCAAUCAGCUCCCUCAGUUUUGAGCCUCCAGCUUCAGCAAACCCUGUCCUGUUCCAAGAUUCUUAGCUAUACCCGCAUUUUCUUUUAAUUGAGUUUUAAUUUUUUUUUUCAGUCCAAAUGGGGAGCCUCACAUCCGAUCCUGAACUCAAAUACAAUUCAGGUUCAUUUACUAACCCUCUGGACUCAGAGGAAUUCAGGAGGCAAGGCCACAUGAUCAUUGACUUCAUUGCUGAUUACUACAAAAAUGUCGAGAAAUACCCGGUUCGAAGCCAAGUGGAACCGGGUUAUCUCCAAAAAGUGUUGCCAGAAUCCGCCCCUAACAAUCCUGAGUCUAUGGAGACUAUCCUCCAGGACGUACAACAACACAUUGUCCCAGGUAUAACGCACUGGCAAAGUCCCAACUACUUCGCUUACUUUCCCUCAAGUGGUAGCAUCGCCGGAUUUCUCGGUGAAAUGCUGAGUUCUGGAUUUAAUAUUGUGGGAUUCAACUGGAUCUCAUCACCGGCUGCAACUGAGCUUGAGAAUAUAGUUAUGGAUUGGCUUGGCCAAAUGCUGAAGCUUCCCAAGUCUUUCCUUUUCUCGGGCAAUGGUGGUGGAGUCAUACAAGGAACUACAUGUGAGGCCAUUCUGUGCACACUAACGGCAGCGAGAGAUCGAGUUCUGAACAAGAUUGGAAGAGAAAACAUAUCCAAGCUUAUUGUAUAUGGAUCUGAUCAAACUCAUUGUGCCCUCCAGAAAGCUGCUCAGAUUGUCGGAAUCGAUGUCAAGAAUUUCCGAGCUAUUAAGACAACAAAGUCUUCAUCCUAUGGGCUGUCGCCAGACUCACUGAUGGCACAAAUCAACUCGGAUGUAGAAGUUGGACUGAUCCCAUUAUUUCUAUGUGCCACAAUCGGGACGACUGCAAUAACUGCUGUUGAUCCCUUAAAGCCACUUUGCGACGUAGCAAAACAAUUCGGAAUAUGGGUCCACGUUGAUGCUGCAUAUGCUGGAAGUGCCUGCAUUUGCCCGGAGUUUCGACAUUUUAUUGACGGAGUUGAAGGUGCGGAUUCGUUUAGUCUCAAUGCACAUAAAUGGUUCUUUGCAACAUUAGAUUGUUGUUGCCUCUGGGUGAAGGAUCCAAGAGCUCUUGUGAGCUCACUCUCAACAAAUCCUGAGUACUUGAAGAACAAAGCCACCGAGUCGAUGCAAGUGGUGGAUUACAAAGAUUGGCAAAUAACUCUGAGUCGAAGAUUUCGUUCGCUGAAACUAUGGUUUGUGAUAAGAAACUAUGGCGUGGCAAAUCUAAGGCACUUCCUUCGCAGCCAUGUAAACAUGGCCAAGCUUUUUGAAAGGCUUGUAAGCGGUGAUAAGAGGUUUGAAAUUGUGUUUCCCUGUCAUUUUGCCGUGGUCUGCUUUAGGGUUUCGCCAUCACCAGUACUCAUGGAUAAACUUAAAACCAAAUACGUAAAUUGUCUGCUCUCAGAGGAGGAACAAAUAAACGAAUUCAAUCGAGAAUUACUGGAGUCGAUUAAUGCAUCUGGAAAAGCAUACAUGACACAUGCCGUUUUGGGAGGAAUCUACGCCAUACGAUUUGCCACUGGUGCUACGUUGACAGAGAAACGACACGUAGUGGUGGCGUGGACGGUGGUGCAACAGCACUUGGAAGCUUUUCAAAGUGCAUUUAAACCCUAAGUUAUGGUAUUAUGUAAUAUUUAUGUCCCUUUUUAAUUUUGAAAUUAUUGUUUUAUUAUAUCACAAAACUGCAUCACUUAUUUUAAAGGAAAAUAAUAAUAACAGGAAAAUAAUGACGUGGAUGCAUAGGCUAAAAUUUUGGUCACAGGAUCCUUUUAAUUGGUGUAGUCAAUGAUGUACUAAGGUCUCCUUUUUUUUGUAUUUUUUUUUUAAUUUUAAUUUUAAUUUUUUUUAUCUUAAAGUAUCAUAAUUUUUUGAAAAAUGAUAGUUGGACACCAGAACGAUAAAAUGAAGACAGAAACUGCAGCCACUCGCUGUUGUUUCGUUCACUUAUCAUUUUCUCCGCAUUUGCUGGCCCCACAAUUAUAUUAAAAUAUUAAUAAAAAAAGAAAACGAAAUCCCCACCUUAUCUCUAAAUCAGGAAGAGAAGAUAUCAAAGCAACCUCAUCUUAUAUUUGAAGAGAGUGCUAUGCGGUUUUCAUUAUUUGAAUGUAAUAAGAGAGACCAACUUAUUAAUUAAUCAAUAACAAUUUUAUCAAAUUACCUCUGUUUGCAGAUCUAUUACCACUGGUUUUGCUUCACUCUUUUUUUUCAACUAUCGAACAGAUCUAACUUCCCCCUUCUUCCAAAUGCAGGGCUGGAAAUGCAGCUAUUUGAACUGAGAGAAGACAGAAGGAAAUGCAUUGGCUGGAAAUGCAGCUAAAAAGUCCGACAGAUGCAGAUAGAGUUCGGCCUGUCACUUUAGAUCCUCACGUUAAAAGUUAAAACCCUUGUCCAAGGAAAAAAAACAAAAAAGGCCGAACUUGUGGGCCCAAAUUCACGUGCUUUUUUUAAACUUGUGGGCCCAUAUUUUAUUGGCUAAUUAAAUCAUCUGUCUUUUCCUUCUGACUUCUCUCAGUUAAAACAGCAAAAGAACUCAAACUUUUUGGGGAAAAAAAGGGCGCCAACUCCCCACAUCUUCUUAGUUAGAAUAAAAAAACAUUCAAUGAAAAAGUGAUUCUAAAGAAUGUGAAUGAUAAAAUAGCACCAGUUUUUUUUUUUUUUAAAUCUUAAAAUUCCAAAGUAAUUGUAAUGACAUAUAGUGUGCAGACGCACCGUUUACUGCAUUCUAUAAGAGCCCUGAUAUUGAAGUAAAAUAAAUAAAUAAUGACUGGAACGAAAAUGAGUUUUAUCCCUCAAAAUAAUGAUUUCGUACUUUACUUAAAUAUAUAUUAUUUAUUUAAUAUUUGCGAUGUUAAAUGCAUCUGUAUACUUUUGUCUUUAUUCCUAAUUUAUCAUUUGUUGGCAAAUGAUGGGAAAACCAAUAAUGGAAUAAUAGUGACAAAAUAUAAGUUAGCUGUAGAGCAACCGAAAGUCAAUUAAUAAAACAAAUUAUUUUUACUCUCCAUUGAACUCUUAAUGUAAAUUAAUUUAAAUUUAAAUUGAUAUACACAGCACCGAAUCUGUAUGUUUUAUUCUGCUCUUAUUAGGAUGGUGAUAUUUCCCCCAUCUUUUAUAUAAAACCACUCCACUUAUUAGAUUUUUUGUAAUUAAAAUAUUAUCUAUACGUGAAAUGACUAAAAUAGGUAACUAAAUAAUUAUUAUUUAUUAUAAUUUAGAAGUUAAAUUCAUUAUUCCGAAUAAACCGGGGAGCUUUUAUGUUCUUAAACUAUUUCCUAACUGUUCACAUAAAAAAAGCCAAUAUUAUGGAGGAAGAAGAAAUGCAAAGGGAAGAAUAUGGGGAAAAAAAAAGUACUAAAUACUGCAUUGAUUGAGGAAGAAGAUAUGCCAGGCGAAGAAAAAGAAAAUGAUCCGCAAUCCAUUUUCCAGCAAAAACGGAUCUUCAAUCCCAAGUCUGAAAAACCCUCAACUCCGUGGACCCCUCGUUAAGAUCCUAUGAAGACAAUGCAAUUCAGAACAUUGUUUUAGAAGCUCCAUGGUUUAAUUCUAGUCACAGAUUAUGUGCCCAUAUCAGUUGCUGUGCUUUGAGAGAAGUUGAUACAUUAAGGUCCCGUUUGGAAUUGAGGUUGAAACUCAAUAAACUACUUAUUUUAUAAUUUUUGAUAAAAGUAAUGUUUGGUAAAUUUUGUAAAAACAGCUUAUUUCAUAAUUUUUUCUAUUUCGUCAACAGUUUUUAAAAGCAGGUAGAGGGUUGCUUUUUAUAAGCAACUUAUUCAAUAAGCUACUACGCCUUUUUAAAUAUCUAUUAUAACCUUAGUAUUUUGAUAAAAAGAUAAUUAUAUCAUACUUACCCAUAAACCUUAAUAUAUAAAUCAUUAGAUAUUAUAUUACUGCCACAAUUUUAUUGUAAAAAAUUAUUGUGAAUGUAGUGCAUAUUACUUUUUAUUUUAUUUAGAUUAUAUAAAAGUAUAAAUUUUUAUCAUAUUUUAUGUAAUAGAUUAUGAAGUUCUUCAGAUUUUUCUUAAUUGAGUUUUUUUAAUUAAUUUUACACAUUUAAGAAAAAAGUAUGUCUAAACAAUUUAUUAAACAUAAAGUAAAAAAAAAUGUAUGUCCAUUUUGGUCAUUAUAUAAUAUAACAACACUUUUGUAAUAAGAUUUACAAAAUGCAUGUACUCUACUUUUCAAACUCACAGCAACCGCAACAACACAAUUUACCAAACACUAAGCUACUUUUUUAAUCAACAGCUUAUUUCAUGUGCACAGCACAAACAACUUAUUUCAUCAGCCUCCGCAAUCCCAAACUAGCCCUAAAGUUGUUGUCUCAAAUUCUGCAAAUUCCAUGUUAUUUUGAAAUCAUGAAAUAUUGGGAAUAUGAUUGUAAUUUCUCAAUAAAUUCAUCUCUCUAAUAGAUAGAAAAAGAAAAACACGAAAUUGGAGGUUUCGAUGAUUAUGAUAUUUUUCAAUAAACAAUUAUUUUUAAAUUAAAACAAAAAAAUCUGAAAAAAUUGAAAUAAAAAAGAUAUUAUAAAUAUUAAAUAAGCAGGGGCAUUUUUGUAUUUAUUGGAUGGAUUUAUAAAAUAUAUUCCUAUUAUUUUUUUUAUGGGGUGGGUUAAUCAAUGGGUGGUUUUAUAUAAAACACGGGGGGAAAAAGCACUGCCCCUCUCAUUAAUAAUAAACUAGGAAAUAGAACCGCACUUCGUGCGGUUUUAAAAAAAAUUAAUAUUAUCUUUUUUUAUUACUUUGCAAUUGAUGAAACUGAUAAAAAAUAUGAAUUAUUUGACCAAGUUGAUGGCUAGUUAAAAUGGUUAGAAAGAGCAAGAGAGGGCAACAAAUGAACGAAAAAAAGAUUUUUGCAUUACAAACUUUAAGUUUAUAAAGCCGAUCAACAACAGACUUCGGGAGAUUGAUUUGUGAUGGAAGAUAGAGAAUUUAGGGAGGGUUUCUUCUCUGAAGAGUUAAAANNNNNNNNNNNNNNNNNNNNNNNNNNNNNNNNNNNNNNNNNNNNNNNNNNNNNNNNNNNNNNNNNNNNNNNNNNNNNNNNNNNNNNNNNNNNNNNNNNNNUAAAAAUUUUCAAUAAAUACAAAUAUAAUAUGAAUAGUUUCAUUUGUUCAGUAGACUAAUCAUAUUAAAAUAAUGUUAGUAAGGAAAAUAAUUUAAAAAAUAUUUGUAAUUAAAAUAAUUUAAAAAAUGUAAAUUACCUCUCUCCCCUCAUUUUUUAAGCAAAAAUAAAAAUAACUUGAAGUUUUAUUGAAGUAAUGAAAUAAUGAAGUAAUUUAAAAAUAAUCAAUUUGGAAUAAUUCAAAAUUUACCCAAGAGAUUAUUCACAAUAUCAAUCAAUGAAUUAGAAACAUUAUGUGUUAAGUGGUAUAAGCAUACAUAUAACUAUUAUUUUUAACUUAUUGAUCUCAAUCUUGAGCGUUUGGAUUAGAUCUUUGGGGUUUCAUUUUUCAGAUUUCGGUGAUUGAAAGUCUGAAACUCAAAGUAACAAAAAUUAAAUUUAUAUUUUAUCGCAAGGGAAGUGUAGAGAUGAAUCCAAUUAUUUGCGUCUAGCGUUUCUUUUUGUUGCUAUCACUCUUGUUGAUGAUGAUAAGCCUUUUUUUGCAUUGUCACUACCAAUUUAUUAUCUAUAUUCAUCUAUAGAACGGAGCAAGAUGCCAAGAAAGAAAUAUAACACAAUAAAAAUAAGUUCUCUCAAUCGUUCAAAACAAAUACAUACAUAGACAGAAAAAUAAGACAUAUCAUAUCACACUUAAAUAUUACCACUCUAAAAAGAAAAAAGGUCAAAAGACUAACACACAUGUAAAAAGACGACCAACAACAACACUAAACAUGUUUUGUGUAUUGAUUACUUCCACCAUCACUAACUUCAUCAUCAUCAAUAAUUUGGUUUUUUCUCUUUCUAUUCUUACCAGCAUUAGUAAUAUGAAAAUCUCCCACAGAAUCUUCCAAAUUAUUUGAUAAGAUAUCAUGAGGAUCCUGUAAUUUUUUAAUCAAGGAAAUUAUAAUUAUGAGUAAACUGAACAUGUUAAUUUUAAUCAUAAAGGAAAACAAAUGGGAAAUAAGAGUAAAUAAAACUACCAUUUCUUGGGAAUGUCCUUCCUUUCUUUCAUAUAUUUCCACAUUUUCAUGAUCUGUAUUGUUUUUUUCCUACAAAAAACAACAAUUAAAUAUUUUUUUUAACAUUACAUAUAUUGCCUGCAAAUUGAACCUAGCAUAGGUAGAUAAUACCUUUUUGUCCUUCUUCAAUUCUUGUUCUAGCUCCAAUUUCUCAUUAAGGGUGAAAAGCUUUGACACAGUAAAAUUCUCAAGUCCCUCUUUCAAAUUGUAAUCAUUCAAUUUCAGUUUGUAAACAAAAUAUUUUCCACAAAGGCUUUGAAUUUCUACAGGGACAUCCUUACUAUAUAAAGGUAGUCUAUUAAACAACUUGUGGGCUGAUGUAUCAAGUAACUUCUCAGCUACAUGAUUGAAUAAGACAAAAGUUGUCUCUGCCGUUUUAUCCAUGACUUUUAUAUGUAUUUUGUACCUACAUUAGAAUAAUUAAUUAGAAUGAAAAACUAACAACAUAAUAAGCAAUUUUUAAAAAAAUAUUAUUAUUUUUCUUACAUCACAAGAGGAUAGUCACAUUCCUUUUUGCAAGUGCCACACAUAUAAAUACCAUUUGUAGGUAUGACCUUUUUUAUGCAUGUUUUGCACGAAACAUAGUACCAUCCAAAGGAGUUGUCUAUUUCACUAAUCUUGCCCCGCACAGUAACAAUAUAUUCCUACAAUUAAACAAUAAACAUUUACAAAAAUAAUAAGGACAUUCCAAUAUUUAGGAACAAAUAACACAAAUGGAUGAGAAGGAAAAAAAAAAUAGAAAAAUCACCUUCACUUGAGAACUCCAAUCAGCCUCCAACAAUUCUUUAAUGCUCAUCCUGUUAAGGAACAUCUCUUCCUCAAAAGUAAUCUUAUUCACAUUCGAACUUUCAAUAACUUGCACAACGUUGGAGACGGUGGAAAAUCUUUUAAUUAAUGAUGCUACAUAAUCUAUUUGAAGAUUUAUGUAGAUUUUGCUUGCACUUGUGGUAGAGAAAUUAACCUCACCUGUUUAGAGCAAAUGUAACGUAAAACGAAACUUGAACAAAAUCUAAAUUUGUGUAUAAUAUUAAAAUAGCCACAUUGCAUUUGAAAUGUUAAUUAGUGGGAUCUAAAUAAAAUAAUCACCUUGGAAUUUUUUAAUGGUUGUAGAAGUUACUAUCACAUUGCAAGGACCCUCGUAUUUCUUGUACAAGUUUGGAUCAAACAUCUCCCCUAACUUUCCCCAUAAAGUAAUCUUUGUUGUUACCGAGCUAUCCAUAAAAAUUAACAAAAGUUAAUAAUGUAAAGAGAACCAAUAACUAAAAAAUAACAUAAAUAACUAAAAAAUAUAAAGUCAUAGUUUUCUUGAUUAUAUUCAACUUACUAAUCCGUUAGAAUUUUUAUAUUUUUUUUUCCAACCAGCUCCAACGAUCUCAAUAUCACCCACACCACAUAAACUUCCGAUAACAUCUGUAAUAUUAUGGAAAAAUAACAUAAACAUGUUAAAACAUAAGGAUUAAUAAUUUCUAAUAUACACUUAAAGAUUAACAAACAUUAAUAAUUAAAAAAAUACCUGAGAGGAUUGUGUUAUCAUUCACACGUAAAUCAAUCAAAUUCGGAGAUAUGAAUUGAAAUCCAUUAAUCAGAAUCUUGACAGUUCCUUCUUCUAACCUCUUAAGAGAAGUUAUAACCAAAAAAAUAAUCUUAUACUGAUUUGAAAGUGGUCUGUACUCACCUGUAGUUGAAACAACUUUCAAAUUCUUGACAUUGUACAAAGAACCCUCACUUAACAUGUGCUUAAACCUUGUCACUAAAGUUUUCCUGAUUGUUGCAUGCAUUAGAUUUUCCUACGAAAAAAAAAACACAUACUACAUUAAGUGUGAAACAAUUGGGAAAAAAAUUAGAGAAAACAAUGAAAUACAAGUAUGCAACCUAAGAGGGGGGUGAAUUGGGAUUCAAUAAAAAAAUUAUUCAAUUUAUUAAAGAAAAUCUUAAUGCAAUUAUAAAUCAAAUUCAAAGCAAUAACAAUUAAGAUGAUCACAAUAUAAAAAGAUAAGGGAAGAGGAUUCAAACAUCGAGAUUUUUACGUGGUUUGGCCAACCUCGCUUACGUCCACGCCUCCAAGCUUUCCGGGCUUGAGGAUUCCACUAAGCAAGCCUCCAAGGCUUCAAAUGCUUACACUUGACUUCCAAGGUGUCAAUGGACCUUUACAACAAGAGAUUAUCCUCAAUCUCUUAACCCCAGUGCAUCCCAACACUUACAAUCACUUCAAAGUAAAAGAUUACAAAUAGUUUUGCCUCUCACAAUAUAUAAGAUUACACAAUGAUGCUUAAUAUGUGAAUAGAUGAAGCAAGAAAGUGUUCUAAGCUCUAUAAAGAUUGUAUUCUCGAAUAUUUGCUCAAAUGGUCGUGCUGUGAUCAGCCUUCUUUGAAUUUGAAUGAGCUUAUUUAUAUUUGGAGCUGAAAAUCUAGCCGUUACAAACUGUCGGACAGAAAAUAGUUCGCCGUUAACCAUAAACGGUUAACCAUUUCGGUUGGUCAAAGUUACCGUUGGGCCAAAUUUCAAAUAAACGGUUUGCCGUUUAGGAUUAACCUUUCGCCGUUAACUUCCAGAGACCUGCAAGAUAAACAUUGGUUAUCCGUUUACACUAAACGGUUAAGGACUUGCGUGAAGUAACAAUUCUGGAUAUUAUCGGUUAACCGUUUAAAAUAAACGGUUCGCCGUUUGGCUCCAGUAACCUGCACAACAAUUUAGCCUUAUCAGUUUUCGUUAAUCAAUGCCAGAGGAGGACAACCUUCAAUUCUGGACGUUAUCGGUUAACCGUUUAAAAUAAAUGGUUCACCGUUAAGUUCCAGUAGCCUUCCCAUCUUUGGUGUUUUCCGUUAAACAUAAACGGCUAGAGCUUAGGCAAUAUCUUACUCUCUGGUGCUAAUCGGUUAACCGUUUAAAAGAAAAUGGUUUACCGUUAAUUUCCAGUAACCUUCCCAUCUUUUGUGUUUUCCGUUUUUCAUAAACGGUUAGAGGUUUAGGAAAUGUGUUGCUCUCUGCCUUUAAUCGGUUAACUGUUUUAAAUAAACGGUUCAUCGUUUAUUUCCAGAAUCACACUUUAAAACAGAUUUUUCAGAGAAUCAUUUUUUAAUAUGAAGAUCCAUCUUUUAUGAAAGAAUGAAUGGAAUGAUUAUCAAGACUUUCGUUUAUUUAGAAAAAACUCCAAUAUUUUUAUCAAAAUACAUUUAAAAUUUGUUAUCAUCAAAAUCAAUAUUAUUAACAUAUUUAUGUUAACAAUCUCCCCUUUUUUUAUGAUGACAAAUUCUAAUUAAUGUUUAGCUCCCCCUUAAUAUGUGCUCCCCCUAACUGUAUGGCCAAAUUGAGAAAUGUUCAAUAAAAGGAUUUUUCCUUUAAAUCUCCCCAUUUUAAAUCCAUCUUAAAAACCAUAUUUUUGCUUUAAAUCUCCCCAUUUUAAAUCCAUCUUAAAAACCAUAUUUUUGCUUUAAAUCUCCCCAUUUUAAAUCCAUCUUAAAAACCAUAAUUAUCUCCCCCUUCAUCAUCAAAAAGAAAAGAGAGAAUAAGAAAAACGCAAAUUCAGUAAAGAAGUUGCCCGGUUUUGGCAAGCGAAAAUUUUGGCAGAGUUUCCCCUUAAAAAUGAUCAAAACCACUAAUACAAAAUAAGAUAAAACACUUCCAAAAAUAGAUUAACAUCAACUUCUUCUUUCAACAAGCCAACAACUCCAUGAACAAAACAAAAUAACACUUCAAUAUCCACAAACAUACCAACACUCCAAGAUCCACAAAUAAACCAAUUCUACAAUAUCCAACAAUCAGUCAAUCACAAAUCAUCAAUCAUCUAAUCAUCAAGAACAUCACACACAUAUGCAUCAAAAUCCAAAAAAAAAAUAAAAAUGCUAGCAACCAAAAUGUAAAAUAUAUGUGCGAAAACAAAGCUCAGAAACUACGGAGGCGGAGAAGAUGUGCUCCUCGGAUCAUAGCUGAAAUAGCUGAGAAUAGUGCGCUAUCCAGCGAUAAGCUCAAGCUGCUGAUCAAGGCUCUGCCGCUGGAAGAUCUGAAAGUUAUAACGCAGCUGCUGGUGGUCACGGGAAAUAGUGUCCAACCGAUCAAGAAUCAGCUGCUGGCGCUCCGAAAUCCGCUGAACAUCAGUGAUCAGCUGUUGCACUGCGUCUGAAGCAGGGGGCUGAACUGGAGCUGGAGGCGGCAUAGAGGCAGAUGGCUGCUCGGGAACAGCAGAAGGCUCAGGAGCAGGAGGCAGCUCGGAAGAGGAGGGAAUGUCAGUAUCUAUUGCAUGCUCCUCAGGGUCAGAAUCAGCAGGAGGCCGAGGUACAAAAUGGCAACGCGGAGGAUGAUGAAGAGCUCAUAAUCUAAAGUCAGGAAGCUGAUCGGGAGGAUAGAUAUCAUUGAGCAUCCGAUCGUCCUCUGCAGCAAUCAAGGUAUCCCGGUUUUUGGAGUUGCUUGUCUUUAUCCACACUCCAUUCUUCCUAGAGAAUCCGAUAUUGGUCAUGGCCUCGGGACCAAUCCGUCGAGUCUCCAUAUGUCCAGUAUCAAGAAGUGGCAACUCAAAGCGUCGCAGUAUUUUAGUGAUGAUACUGCCAUAAGGAAGCAAGCGGUGGUUGACCGCUGGAGUACUCAACAUAUGUUGCACAAUAAUAUACCCGAGGUUAAUGAGACGGUCUGUAAGAAGACUAUCCAAUAGGGCAACGUCCAACCUCGUAACCUCAACCAAGUGACCCUUCCUAGAAGUCACUAUGUGCUGUAAAAUAGAGAACGUAGGCAUGAAUGGACCAUCACAAACAACUUCCCAAAUUUCAUAAUCUAAUGCUUGCAAAUAGAUUCUCAUUCUAGUUUUCCAAUAAGCAUAGUCAUUACCAUCGAAAAAUGGUGGUCUAGUUGUGGAUUGCCCUUCUCUAAAGGUUGAGUCAUUUAGGGUUGCCAUGGAUCUUUUACUCUAGACGGUUAAGUCUUAACAAGAGAACGAGGCUCGGAUACCAAUUGAAAUACAAGUAUGCAACCCAAGAGGGGGGGUGAAUUGGGAUUCAAUAAAAAAAUUAUUCAAUUUAUUAAAGAAAAUCUUAAUGCAAUUAUAAAUCAAAUUCAAAGCAAUAACAAUUAAGAUGAUCACAAUAUAAAAAGAUAAGGGAAGAGGGAUUCAAACACCGAGAUUUUUACGUGGUUCGGCCAACCUCGCCUACGUCCACUCCUCCAAGCUUUCCGGGCUUGAGGAUUCCACUAAGCAAGCCUCCAAGGCUUCAAAUGCUUACACUUGACUUCUAAGGUGUCAAUGGACCUUUACAACAAGAGAUUAUCCCCAAUCUCUUAACCCAAGUGCAUCCCAACACUUACAAUCACUUCAAAGUAAAAGAUUACAAACAGUUUUGCCUCUCACAAUAUAUAAGAUUACACAAUGAUGCUUAAUAUGUGAAUAGAUGAAGCAAAAAAGUGUUCUAAGCUCUAUAAAGAUUGUAUUCUCGAAUAUUUGCUCAAAUGGUCGUGCUGUGAUCAGCUUUCUUUGAAUUUGAAUGAGCUUAUUUAUAUUUGGAGUUGAAAAUAUAGCCGUUACAAACUGUCGGACAGAAAACGGUUCGCCGUUAACCAUAAACGGUUAACCGUUUCGGUUGGUCAAAGUUACCAUUGGGCCAAAUUUCAAAUAAACGAUUUGCUAUUUAGGAUUAACCUUUCGCCGUUAACUUCCAGAGACCUGCAAGAUAAACAUUGGUUAUCCGUUUACACUAAACGGUUAAGGACUUGCGUGAAGUAACGAUUCUGGAUAUUAUCGGUUAACCGUUUAAAAUAAACGGUUCGCCGUUUGGCUCCAGUAACCUACACAAUAAUUUAGCCUUAUCAGUUUUCGUUAAUCAAUGCUAGAGGAGGACAACCUUCAAUUCUGGAAGUUAUCGGUUAACCGUUUAAAAUAAACGGUUCACCGUUAAGUUCCAGUAGUCUUCCCAUCUUUUGUGUUUUCCGUUAAAUAUAAACGGCUAGAGCUUAGGCAAUAUCUUGCUCUCUGGUGCUAAUCGAUUAACCGUUUAAAAGAAAACGGUUUACCGUUAAUUUCCAGUAACCUUCCCAUCUUUUGUGUUUUCCGUUUUUCAUAAACGGUUAGAGGUUUAGGAAAUGUGUUGCUCUCUGCCUUUAAUCGGUUAACCGUUUUAAAUAAACGGUUCACCGUUUAUUUCCAGAAUCACACUUUAAAACAGAUUUUUCAGAGAAUCAUUUUUGAAUAUGAAGAUCCAUCUUUUAUGAAAGAAUGAAUGGAAUGAUUAUCAAGACUUUCGUUUAUUUAGAAAAAGCUCCAAUAUUUUUAUCAAAAUACAUUUAAAAUUUGUUAUCAUCAAAAUCAAUAUUAUUAACAUAUUUAUAUUAACAAACAAUAGGAGAAUGAAUUUUUUAUACAACCUUUUCAUCAAUAAAAAUCAUAUCAAAACUAUUCAAUUCUCCAUUUUUUUUAGUAUUAGUAGACUCCCACAUCAUACAAAGCCUAACUCUUAUCAUCCAACUAUCUUUAUCAUUGUUCAACUCAUGAAGAAAAGAGUACUCCAUGAAGCAAACAAUACCAAAAAUUCAAAUAAAUCAAACAAAAAAUAUACAAGUAUUUUUCUAAAGAGGGUGUUGAUUAAAUAAAUAAAUAAAAACCCUAAACAUAACAAAUCUUAAAUAUUUAGUGUUUAGAGAGCUUGAAGAAGCCAAAAGGCACUAAACAAAAGGUUGCAUAAUUAAAUAUGAGAUUAUGUCAUUAAAAUUAGGCUCUAGUGGCAUUGUUGAGGGAAGAUGAAAGAACCUCUCUUCCUAUGUUAAUUUAUUGAUGUAUUUUAAGCCACUAAAGUUUAAUUGCUAGCAUAAUCAAAUUUGAAGGAGCCAAAAGACACUCAACAAAAGGUUGCAUAAUUAAAUAUAUGAUUAUGACAUUGAAAUUAGGCCCUAGUGGCAUUGUUGAUGGAAGAUGAAAGAACCUCUCUUCCUAUAUUAAUUAAUUUAUGUAUUUUAAGCCACUAAAGUUUAAUUGCUAGCAUAAUAAAAUAAAUGAAUGCUUCAAAAUACUUAUAAUUAAUUAUUAUUAAUGGUUACAUAUUGUUGGGUUUAAAUAGAAAGAGGAAGAAACAUGUACAAAGAAUAUCCACUAGUAUUUUAGAUAUUUUAGAUAAUAUAAAAUAUAAAAAGAUGAGGUUGAUGGAAGAUGAAAGAACCUCUCUUCCUAUGUUAAUUAGUUGAUGUAUUUUAAGGCACUAAAGUUUAAUUGCUAGCAUAAUAAAAUUUGAAGAAGCCAAAAGGCACUCAACAAAAGGUUGCAUAAUUAAAUAUGAGACUAUGGCAUUAAAAUUAGACCCUAGUGGCAUUGUUGAGGGAAGAUGAAAGAACCUCUCUUCCUAUGUUAAUUAAUUCAUGUAUUUUAAGCCACUAAAGUUUAAUUGCUAGCAUAAUAAAAUAAAUGAAUGUUUCAAAAGAUUUAUAAUUAAUUAUUAUUAAUGGUUACAUAUUGUUGGAUUUAAAUAGAAAGAGGAAGAAAUAUGUACAAAGAAUAUCCACCAAUAUUUUAGAUAUUUUAGAUAAUAGAGAAUAUAAAAAAAUGAGGUUGAGGGAAGAUGAAAGAACCUCUCUUCCUAUGCUAAUUAGGUGAUGUAUUUUAAGGCACUAAAGUUUAAUUGAUAGCAUAAUAAAUUUUGAAGAAGCCAAAAGACACUCAACAAAAGGUUGCAUAAUUAAAUAUGGGAUUAUGGCAUUAAAAUUAGGCUUUAGUGGCAUUGUUGAGGGAAAAUGAAAGAACCUCUCUUCCUAUGUUAAUUAAUUCAUGUAUUUUAAGCCACUAAAGUUUAAUUGCUAGCAUAAUAAAAUAAAUAAAUGUUUCAAAAGACUUAUAAUUAAUUAUUAUUAAUGAUUACAUAUUGUUGAAUUUAAAUAGAAAGAGAAAAAAAGUACAAAGAAUAUCCACCAAUAUUUUAGAUAUUUUAGAUAAUAGCAAAUAUAAAAAGAUGAGGAAUGAUAUAUAUUAAUAAAGUUACUAUUUAUUAAAUGAGUUAAAUACAAUCAAAUUAAUUAUGAGAAGAUGAAAAGCCAAAUCUAAAAAAAAAAUCUCUAUUUAUUAGAUAAUAGAGAAUAUACAAAGAAGCAAAAUGGUGAUGCCACAUCACCUCCUCAAGUCUUAGCUUUAUAUAUAUAUAUAUAUAUAUAUAGAUAUAGAUAGAUUAUCAUUCAAAACAAAUGUUUGAGUGCAAAUAUUAAUCCAAAAAUCCAACAAAAAUAGGGAAAAGCAGGACACUUGAGCCAAGAAGGGCCAAAGACAACCGAGCAAAAACUUCGACUCUUUUGCAUCUCUCUAUAUAUAUCAAGCCAUCAAGACUCCAUCAAAAUCGAAUGAGGCCUAGAUAAUCUACUGUUCAAAGCAGACAUCACGAUUUAUAUCACAACAAGAAUGCUUCCGAUUUUCAAGAUAAACAACUUGCAAAAUUAACAGAAGUUUAUCAAAGGAUUGACAAGUUAUUAUUUUAGAAACUUAUAAAGAAAAUAUUAGUUGGUCAAACAAUUUCUUAUUGGGGACAUAUCUAAUCUUGCGAUUGCAUCGACAUCAACUUAAAUUGCUACGAGUUUUUCGCUAUUUUCAACUUUUUCAACCUAUAUGUCUUAUAACUGAAAAAAAUAUAAUGAAAAAGUUGUGUAUAUAACAAAAAAGAAAAAAAAAUUGUAAUUAUAUACAUGGUUUGCCUAAGUUAUAUUUAAGUAAAAUAAGAUAAAAUUAAGUAAAAGAAUAGUGUGGCCAAGUGAGUCGAUUGUAAAUUUUAUUUGAGUAUUAGUUAUAUAAAAUGUAACUUAAAAAGACCAUUGUAUAAAAUGUGGUAGUCUACAUUAGAGCUCAUAUAUGGUAGAUUAUCCCAUCAUGUUAGUUAUGGUCAAGUGCGAACUCCUCUAACACUAAAGGGUGCUAUGGCCCGGUAGAUCUUGGUCGAAUCACUUAAUUAAAGUUCUAAGUAAAUUAUAUCAUAUCAUAAGCUUAGAUGUAAAAUCUUUAUUUUAACCCCUUAUAUCCUUUCAAAAUUUUUGUUAUGCGGAAAAAUAAAUUAAAAGGCUCACCAACGAUAAAGUUUGAUUGGUAGCUUUCACAAUUAUUUAUUAAUAUAUUAUUAACAAAUACUUAUGAACAUGGAUCGCAGCCAUCAUAGCCUUAACCGUAACCCUCACGGUCGUUGGCAGCGAAUGUUCUUACUUUAAAAAUAAGUGGGCCUUUGCAAACUUAUCAUAGUUUUAUGAGUUAGACUGCUGCCACCCAUAAAAUCUCCUCAUGCUGUUUUUUAAAGUUAUUUUUUAUUUUAAUUACAAAAGCAUCUGUUUUUUUUUUAAUACACUUUUCUAUUUUUUUUAUUAUUAAAACUCAAAGUAUAUUCUACUUUUUUUUUUCUUUGUAAUCUAGCUAUUAUCCUACACAUAUGUUUAAAAAAAAAUUUGGUGGUGGUUUUUUAACUGUCAAUCUUACGUUAAAUUACACAUAUUUUAAAUUAUAUUUUGAAAGCAAUCUUAGGGCAUAAUAAUUCUUAAUUCUUAAUUAAUAAGAAAUAAGAAAAGUACAAUAAAUUAUUCUAAUUUUUUUUAAUUUAUCUUGGUUAGAAGAAAAAGAACAAUAUAUUUUAUUCUAAAUUUUUCUAAUUUAUUUUGAUUAGAUGGAAGUGAUAGGUAGAAAAGAAAAUUAGAUUAAUUAUAAAUGAAAAUAAUUUACUUUAAAAAAAUUUAUUUAAAGUGAGAUUUUAUAAGAAAGUGUGUCAAUGGCUUCACUCUAGUUUUAUUUACUUACCCUGUUACCCGGAGGCCAGAGUUCCCAAUCGGGGGAGAUAGCUUCUCUCUUUCACACUUCAAAAAUAAGUGGUCCUUUAACAAAUGCAUUUCGCAUUCUAAACCCUUUUUCUUAAUUAAAAACAUUUAACGAAACCUUAAAUUGUGGUCCUGGGUUUUGGAAUUCCCAUGGCCAGCUUCCUUCCGUAUUGCUCAUUGCUCUGAAUAUUAGAAAUUAUCCACUCCUUAAGAGGCUUGGAAUAAAAAUCGGCUUGGAAACUUCUUGGAACGAAAUGAUUCCAAAUUCGUUGUGCCAUGGGGCAGUCUCUAAGCACAUGUAACGUGCUUUCCAAAUCCAGUCCGCAUCUAUCACAAUAACCAUUAGAAACAAGAUGCCUUCUCAUAAGCUCCCGUUUUGUCUUGAGUCUAUCAUGCAACACAGUCCAAAUGAAAACACAAAUGGCUUGUGGCCCCUUCCAACGCCAAGUAAGAAACCAGUUCAAAUCCUUAUCAUCAUGCCUAGAUCCUGCAAGAUAGUGAUAGGCAGAUCGAACAAUGAAAUUACCUGUAUUGGAAGCCGACCAAAAGAUCUGAUCUUGUCCUCUCUCAGGUCUUGGUGGUUGAAUGGAAGCAACUUUAAAUAGAACGUGAGUCAGCAAUAGAGAACUGAAACUCUCCCAUUUCCAUUGGCUAUCCACGUUCACGAAGUCAGCAACCUUACCAUGCAGGCUGUCCUCAUGAACUGGGGCAGUAGCAUACUCAAUAAGAGGACGCAUUUUUGUGGCCCAACAAUCCCACCAAAACCUUGCCUUUUCACCAUUACCGAUAGACCAGCCAGCACCCAUGAUGGUUUUGUUCCACAUUUUGCUAACGGAACGCCAUAGAGAGGAGCAGUUUGUGUUCGGCAAUCUAGCCUGAAAAUUCAACUUACGAAUCCCAUACUUGGUUUGCAAAACUUUAAUCCAAAGGCUCUCAGUCGAAGAAAUAAGACCCCAGCAUAUCUUCAUAAGCAAAGCUUGAUUCAUAAUUUCAAGAUUCUUGAAACCCAAGCCCCCACUGAUUUUUGGCUUACAAAUUGUGUUCCAGCUAACUUGACUGAGCUUUCUCCCGGUUGUAGUACUGUUCCAUAUAAACCGUCAACACGCUUGAUCAACCUUGUUCCUAACUCAAGAUGGAAGAUAAGUUGUCUGCAUGGCAUAAAUAGGGAUUGCUUGGAGGGUAGAUUGUGGAAGAGUUAUACGGCCAGCUAGUGAGAGGUGAGAUGCAUUCUAAGUUGACAUCCUUUUCUCCACCUUACCUACAAUAUCUUGUUAAGUAUUUGUGGUCACCCGUGUAUGAAGUAAGGGCAUACCAAGAUACCUACCAAGAUUAUUAGUAAUAGUAAAGCCAAAAAUCUUCCCAAUACUCCUAGCCACGUUCGCCGGUACAUUAGAUGAGAAAAAAAUAUUGGUUUUUACUCUAUUCAUCUUUUCCCCAGAGCUUCGACAAAACUCAUCUGAGACCGCAUUAAUAACGUUAGCCUUAGCAGUGGAAGCUUCAGCAAAUAAAAGCAAGUCAUCUGCAAAAAAUAAAUGGGUUAGAGGGGUUCCCUUGCGUGAUAAACGGAUCAGUUUCCACUCCCCAGCACUAACCGCAUUAGAAAUACCAUGGCUGAGACGUUCAAUACAGAGCACGAAAAUGUAAGGAGAAUUGGGAUCACCCUGUUGAAUCCCACUGGAGGGUCUAAAUCCCUCUGUUAAUUCACCAUUCUAGAGGACAUUCAUGUUAGCGGUAGUAAUGCAUACCAUGAUAAUCCGGGUCAAGUUCAUUGGUAUUCCGGCCUCGAUUAAAGUUUCAAAAAUAAAACUCCAGUUCAGCCGAUCACAAGCCUUCUCCGGGUCAACUUUAAUUGCCAUUUGUCCCACACUUUCAGCCUUUUUCCUCAUUGUAUGAAUAACCUCUUGAGCCACCACAAUGUUUUCAGUAAUGUGUCUUCCCGGAACAAAGACUGUACAGAGACUAAUGGGUCAACAAAGCUUCAAACUCUUGGGGUUGUUAACUUUCGGGAUAAGCACUAGUAGCGUUCGGUUAAUAUCAUCUGGAACUCGAUCACUAUUGAAAACUCCUUUCACCAACCUGCAAAUAGAUGCACCAACCAAAGGCCAUUAGCUUUGAUAGAAAAUAACCGGAUAUCCAUCAACACCCGAAGCUUUAAGGGGCUUCAUACUAAAAAUACUCUGCCUUAUUUCAUCAUCCUGGACUGGUACCAUAAGACUUUCCCUUGUGGACUCGUCAAUCGUCGGAAAAAAGCCUCUGUGAGGAUAGGACCCAGAACAUGAAUCAUCAUUAGUGUAGAGGGAAGAAAAGAAAGAAAUAGCAUGUUGUUUGAUUGCCUCAGUAUCAUAAAGCCAAGAACCCGAGUCAUCCAUGAUAGCUGUAAUACGGCUCAUACGUCUCCUCAACAUGGUUUGUUGAUGAAAGAAACUUGUAUUCGGGUCCCCAAAAAGAAUCCAAUCUUCUCAGAGGCAUAGAGAAUUGUGUUAAAGUCACCCCUCACCAGCCAUGGCCCCCGAGUCUUUUGUGUAAUUUCCUCCAAGUUGCUCCAAAGUUGUUUUCGGACUGUAGAAAUGGGGCUUGCGUAAACCGCAGUGAUCCAAGAGAUGAAGGAAUUGUUUUUGGAGACUUGGAAAUGGAUGUAUUAUUUGUGAUUCCAUACUAUAUGCACAUCAUAUGGACAAUUCCAAAGUAGCCAAAUCCCACCAGCAAAACCCGCUGCUUCUACCCGGUGUGAGCGUUCAAAGCCAGAAAAUUUAAUGAAAGCAUCAGCCUUACUGCCACUGAUACAGGGCUCCAACAAAACAUUCAUUGUAGGGUUGAAAGACCUGACUAAAGUUCGAAAAGCUUGACGAAAGUACUUAGAAGCCGCUCCUUGAACAUUCCAAAACAUAAUUGAGAAAGACAUAGUAUUAAACGGGAAUAAAAGAUAAAUAAGUUCUGAUAUAGCAAAGAAAAAUAACACCUCAUGGCAACAAGCCUGACCCCUCCGGUUCCGCUCCCAUGCCCUGUUCAUCGUCGAGAGAAAUGUCAUCGCCAGAAGUUCCCUAGCCCUCUUCCUCACUAUUGCCCAGGUAAUCACUGUCAUCACUAUCCUCCUCCAUGUCUUCAUUCAAAGCUAGCUUUCCAGUAUCAGGAGGUUGUCCUACAGGAGCAUGUGGCUGACCGUGAAGUUUUGGUAACCUAAGCACUUGCAAAUAAGGUGCAGAGGUGGAAAGAUUUGGGUCCCUAGAAGAGACUUCAUUGGUUUGGAAGGAUACUGCAGUGUGGUGUUUUGGGUCCAAGCUUGUGGGAAUAAAGGUUGGGAGCAGGGGAGUUGGUGAAGCUUGAUUAUGAGUUUGUGUACGUGGGGGGUGAGGAUUUUGCAUGGGGUUGGACUGUGUUGUUUCGGUUGAGGUAGCUGUGUUUUGGGCUUGUUUAGUACCAUGUUUUUUUUUCUGUUUGGGCUCGCGGGGGCUGGUUAUCAGCUAUCUUAGAAUCUAAAUAAGCCUUUCUUUCAUUGGAAUUUUUGCUGCCAUUUGAAACAUAAAGAUCUGUAGGUAUGGGCAGCUGGUUACUCAAAAUGGCAAUUGAGGAUUCACCUCCCUCAGUUUGAGUAUUCCUUCCCUCAUCUUCCAUUAAAAGAGCCCAAAAUCUGGAUCCUCUAUUCGAAUUACCAUUUUGAGGUUGAGCAUACUUCUGACUUUUCUUCUUUCCUUUUCCGUUUAGAUUCUUUCCUUUCCGGGUCACCACCAUCCAAGGGCCAUAACGAGGAUUGUCUGAGCCAGCCUUCUCGGCGGUCGGAGCUGAUGAGAGAUUUCCGUUGGUGGGUUCGUUUGAAUUUGGUUUUUCAGCAUUAGUAUUUUGGGGUUCGAUAUUCCGCUUUUCAGGACAAGAAGAGUUCGUGUGCCCAUACCUGCCACAACCAAAACAAAUGGAUGGGAGGGAUUCAUACUCAACUCUUUCAACUUUCCUAUCUAGUAAAAACUGCGAUAUUAAUAGUCUAUCAAGAUGAACUUCGACAGCAAUCCGAGCAAACUUGCCCCGAGUGGCUAAUUCCGUAUUAUAAUCUAUUUUGAUAACUUUCCCAGAAAUAUGUCCCAAGAGCCGAAUAAUUUUCUUAUGAUAAUAGUGUAAUGGCAUUCCCGGAAGCCGGAUCCAAGCUGUGAUUUUUGCAAUCUUUUUCAUUAGCACAAUCAAAAUGUGGAGUCCACUGCUGGACUGUCAAAUAAUGCCCCAGAAUCACCCAGGGGCCUUGAGUAAGUACAAAUUCAGCAGCAUUGUCUGAACGGAAGCGAACAAGAUAAUAGCCAUUAUCUAAAUCAAUUACUGAAAAUCCCCCUAUAUUUGGCCACAACGUCUCCAAUCUCGAAACGAGUGCCUUAUAACCAAUCAUGCGGCCAAGUAAUUUCACUACUACUGUCGUCUGCCACGGUUUUAUCAAUUGUUCAUGCACUUUUGGUGAGAAAGCUAUUGAAGGAAUUGCACCAUCCCUCUCAAUGAGUACAUCAUCCUUUUCAGAUCUCAAUAAAGUCAUCCAUGCCCACAAAGUCACUCCUUCCAGAAGUUUCAUCCCCUGCACCAUAUUGCGAUUCCAUCAGUUUAUCUCGAAAGGUAAAAGCCGGCGGAUUAUCACCAUCCUCCCCUUGCUGUCGGAACUUUGUUUUCUUCGUAGAUCGGUCAUCUUCAAGAGGAGGAGGGCUGGGCUUGUCGAGAGAAUUUCCGUAAAGCAUUUUUUCUCAAUUCCCUACAAUAACUCUUGACACAUACAAAACUUUAUAGAGGAUUAUAAUUAUUAUUACCAAUUAUAUUAACAUAGCUUACAAAUCAUAGAGGUAGGUUAUUAAACACUUUAGUACUAUAACUUUUAAGCUACAGUUGUUCAACUAUAUCACCAAACAUCACAAGGCCUCGCAAAUUUCAUUACAAGCUAACAUUCAAGACAAAUCUUAAAGGCAAUUGUUAGGGUUGUUCAAUAUGGACAACAACCUUGGUGUAUGGCAUUGUGUUCGCACAGCCUUCAACUUUCUUUACCAAGCAAGGAGAUUCUCUUCCAUCAUUCAUUGGCCUUGCCAUUGUUCUUAUCGUCCCAUCUAUGAACGUCUUUUCGUGCCUAUAGCAAAAUGUUCAGAGAACUGGGACUAGGAUGUUUUUAAUCUCUUAUAGUUAUGGUCAUUACAGCUUUAGUUGAGAUGAAAAGGCUCAAAACGAUUGAAGAAUAUGGAAUUGUCGGUAUAAGAAAAAAUGGAAUAAUUAACAAUUAAAAACUAUCAAAUAGGAGUAUAUUUGAUAGUCAAAAAGUGUCAACUAUGCCUGUAUCAAAUAUCCUUAUUUGACAUUUAACAAAACUAUCAAUUACUUUUGUCAUUUAAAAAUUAUCAAAUCUUUUAAUUUUCAAAUAUUAGUGACAAACUGACAACAUAAAAUUAUCAUAGGAGUAAUGGAGUAUGAUAGUUUGUAAAAGUCCUAUAUUUAUGACUCUCAAGGAAAUGUCAGUUACAUAUGACCUUUUUAAAAAAAAUCAAAAUUUACACCUUUUUUUAAAGAAAAUUACAACAAUGGGAUCUCUUUCGUAGGCUUCACACAAUAUAAAUUAUAAUAUUAAAAAUCAGAUAGAACUCUAAAUUAAACAAUAAAAUAGCAAACUCAAAAUUAUAUUAGCAUGACCUGUAUAUAUAAAAAAUAAGAUCUAGUUUGAAACUAUGAAUUUAUCUAAACUGUAUAAGGACAAACUUUGAAACAUAUAUAAUAAUAAAAAAAAGUACGAUCUAGUUUUUAAAACUAUACAUUUAUCUAAAUUCAAUGUAACUUUGAAUGCAAAUUCAGUACCAUUGAAACAUUUUCAACACCAAAAGCAAUAUCCAAAUCAGCUGCAACAAUCAGUACAAUUCAGCCCUUAGUUAGCCUUCAAUAUUGACCCCCAAAGUUAUCAUGCAACCCUAUAUGUACAAAAAGAUAAACUAUACGACAGGAGAGACUGCAGAAUUAGAAACAAAUGAAAAAAUGAAAAGUGUUUAUUUCACUGUUUCUAGCUUGACAAUGAUAUUCAUGUUGUCGCAUGAUUUUUAGAUGUUUUGUGCUUUUAUUUCACUGUUUCCAGCUCGAGAAUGACAUUCAUGAAACUGUAGUAGUAAAAAGUGUUUACUUCACUUUUCGUGUAAAAACAUGAACAGUGUUUACUUCACUUUUUCUGGCUUGACGAUGCAUGGUAUUCAUGAAAACUAUAGUAGUAAUGAAAAGAGUUUAUUUCACUUUUCUUAUAGAAACAUGAAAAGUGUUAAUUUCAUUGUUUCUAGCUUGACGAUGAUAUUCAUGUUUUCGUCUUUCAUUCUUAAUUCCAAAACACAAAGCAUGUUUUUUUAUAUGAUAUUCAAUUUUUUAUUAAUCUAUUGAAGAGAAGUGUAGUAACCGAAGAUAAAAUAAAUUAGUUAUUUCCGAAUUGAGAAUGAAAUAUGAAAUUAAUUAUUUGUGCAUUCGUCGUUUUUUGAAUGGGAACAUAGCUUAGACAUAGAAUCAAUUAAAUCAAACCCUAAAUUGAUUAGAAAACAAUUAAAUCAAGCCAUAACGCUAAAAGUUAUCAAAUUAGAAAGAGAGAAGUAAAAAAAUUAAAUGAAAAAACACAUGAAAAUUGAGAAGUAAAUGAAACUGAAGCAAGCUGAAAUUCUUCGUGAUUCUUCGUCACUCGAGAGAAUGGAGAUGAAUUAAAAAAUGAGUGAUUGAAAAAAAAAAAUGAGAGAUGAUGAUUGACAAGAAGAAAGUAACUGAAAUGAGCUUGAAUUUUCUUAAAGAAAUUAAUCAGUUCGAGAGAGUUAGAAGAGAACGAGAGGAGAGAGGUUGAAGUCAGAAUUUUUUUUUUCUUUUUUCCCCUUAAGUCAAUAAAAGGUAGUUGGUAAUACAAAUGUGUAUAUAUUUGUCACUUACUUCAUAAAACGUCAUUUAUAUUUUACAAUUACUCUUUUUUUUUUAAAAAAAAUGUCAAAUAUAUUUGAUAUUUCUUAGAAACUGACAAAUAAAAAGUGUCAAGUAUUCAGUGUGUUAAUAAUCCAAAUGUGAUUAUUCCAAUGGCUUAUGGCUGUGAGGUUGAUAAUUACUCGGUAUGUAUUGUUUGCUCGCUGCAGCACUCCACUGGCCCUGUAAUUUUUUGUUGGUGUAAUAUUCUUUAAGCAAUUUAUAGGAUUUGAGUUGUAUAGAGAAGAAACUCCAAAAAUCUGCACUGUAAAUACAAGAUGCACACUAGAAUUUGAAAACAAAAUAUGAUAGCAAAUCGGUAACAAGACUUUGGAUACUUUGAAUUGACGAUAUCCUUUCACUGUACUAAUAUUACUAUAUAUUUACGACUUCAUUCAUUUAUUUUUUAAAUCUUUGCAAGUUCCUGUCCGUCUGUCUUUGAGAUUUGGGGUGCCAUUUUGUCCUCCUCCAUUUAUAAUAAUUAAACAUCAAAAUAAGAUUAUCAAAAAAAAAAAUUGAUAUGAUAUUUUUUAUGUAACUAUGCUUGGAAACAUAGAGAAUAGGCUGCCAUGUCAAUUCUUUUGCUUAUUAAAUUAAAUUAUAAGAGGGCCUAUUGAGUAGCCACUUGAGUUUAUGGAGACAAUGUCGGCCCUGUGGGUUUAUAACUUUUAUAUUAUGUUGCGGUGCUGUUGGUGGCUUACCCUACUGCAAAGUGAGCGACUCAAUACACACCAAAGGGUUUUGUGGGCUCCAGCCCAUUUUUAUCGGGCCAGGACUCACAUUAAAACAUGGAUCAACUCGUUUCAAUUAUUGGGCUUAGAGCAUGCUAUAGCCCCCACAUCUUAUCUCAUGCAACCCCUGUUAAUUUCAAAAUUACUAGUAAAGGACACAACACAAGCUAUAUGGAAGAAAAUUUUCCAGGACUAUUACGAGUACAAAGAGGUUCAUUACACGUGUUGAUAUACGAGAAGGAAAAUAUUGUACUGUAAUAUCGUGGAAGAUAUCUCUACCUAAAUAAUGUACUGUAAUAUCAUCAAAGAUAUCUCCGCCAAAUAUGCACGCAGUAUACGAGAGCAAAUUCUUACAUAGCUUGGAUAUGUGAUGGAAAGAACCUGAAUUUUGGUUUUCAAUUUGAAAAGAAACACGAAAGAUUUUCAAACAACUCCAACACGCAACAAACAAAAAUGAGUCGAAAAUUAUCAUUAACCGUUGAAAAUUUGGAUUUAGAGAGAACAUUCCAUGAACUUACUAAAAUUGGGGUCUUAGUUUCUCACAAGCAACUAUAUCUUCGUACAGUAGAUUGAAUACAUUAAAGAUAUAAUGUCGGUCAUACAACAAACAAAUCAUGUUAUGACAUGUGUGCAUUUACUUUGACAAACCUUCAUUUAAAUUGUGGUUAUAUUAAAUUUAAAUGCAUACGUCAUAUAUACAUUAAUUGAUUCUAUUAUCUGUGAUGUAUUUUAGGAUUUCUUCAAAAGAAGAAUAAGUUUACUAGAAACACUUUAAAAAAAAAAAAAAAACUUGCGUGACUAAAGAAAUUAGAGUUUAACAUCUUUACCCAAAAGCUUCAAGCUAAAUAUAAGCACCAACAGAAUAUUUAUAAAUCAUUAAACAAUCACAUAAACGCAAAAAACUUCAAAUCAAUUAAAUUUUAUUUUCAUUUAUUUAUUUAUUGACUCACGCACUCAUUAAAACUCGAUUCACUAAUUAAAACUCGAAUCUAGAAUCUAGAAUCUGAGUACUAAAAAAUCGCAGUGAAAAUAAACCUCAUCCUUGGCUUCAGAUCAAUGGAUAAACACCAGUAAAACUCAAAAAAUCAAAAGUAAAGCCAAAUCACAAAGUCCAAUGUUUAAUCAUGUAAAGAAGAAUGGGAAAAGCCACCAGUUGGGGUAAAAUAGUUUCUUCACUUCUUUCUUGUGCCAUUGGUCUUUGGAAAAUGACUGUUUGUAAUGAUUGUAUUUGAUUCCUGUUAUCAAAAUUUUAGACGAUUAAUUUACACGCCACGAUUUAGAAAAUCAUUGAAAAAUUAUAUGAUUUAAUUAUUCACAUAAACGAACAUUAAUCAUCGGCAAGAAUCAAAAUAUUGCCGUGUAUGGAUGGAUGUAGAAUAAUUUUUUAUUUUAUGCUUGUCAAGAUGUCAUGUGGGAUAAGAAAAAAAAAUGUACGAUUGGCUUAUGAUCGUCAUUCAGCAAUAAUUGUUUUAAUUAUUAAAAUUCCAAAGAGUGAAAACUAUCUAAUUAUUAGGGUGGGGUUAGUAUUAUUUUUCAAUUGGUAUUUUUUAUCCUUAUUUUUAGAGAAGGAAAAUGAUGUUUUUGAUGUGAUGUUUUUAAAAGUUAAAAUGAAUUUGGGAAUUUAUUUUAAAAUAGUAGAUAAAAAAUGAAAACAAAAAUGAUUUAUAUUUUUAUAUAUAUAUAUAUAAUUUAUUUUGUGGGCCCAUUUGCACUCUCAAUAGAGAAUGAAAUUUAAAGAACACCGGCAUUCUCUAAUUUUCUUUGUAAAAUUUAAAGAACAAAAAUGAUUUGUUUUCCAAUAUUGUAGCGGUUUCUUAAAGAAUGAGCCCACUAAAUAAAUUAUAUAUAUAUAUUUAUUUAUUUAAAUAGAAAGUAUCAAAAGUGGUACCAGACGCACCCUUAAUUGUCAAACAUAAAAUAACUCUUCUUUUAAGUUUUGUUCGAUUGGCUUUCAAGUUAUUCAUCAAAAUUUAAAUUAUAUAAUGUUCUAAUUAAUAACAAAUAAAUUAAUUUAAGUAAUUUUGUUCAUAUCUAUAUAAUACAUGGUUUAGAAAUUUUAAAUUUUUAAAUAAUAUAUCAUUGUAGGGAUUUCUUUUUUCUUUUUUUAUAUAAUAUCUAAACGAUGGUCAAAGCAUUAUUGAAAAACUCUUUAAUUGAGAUUUUAUUAUUUAUUUAAAAAGUCACAUAAAAAAAAUUUUAAAAUAUUUUUUUAAAUAAAGUUAUUUUUUUAAUAUUAAAAGAUAGAAAUACUAAUUCAUUUAAUUAGAGAGUCUUUUGAACUUUUAAUUUAAUAUUAUAUUAUUUUUUCUUAUUAUUAAGUGUUGUAAUUACUAUUAUUUUAAUUAAAAUAAUAUAAAUUUAUUUUUAUUUAAAGAAUUUUUUAAGAGAUGAUUUUUUUUAUUUACUACAUAAAUAAAUAUUUAAAGAAUUAAAUUAAAAUAUUGAUUCGGUGAUUCUCUAAUUUGUCAUGUGUCAAUGUGCAUAAACAAAACAUUUUCCUUCUACAGACGACAGACGACAGACGACAGACGACAGUGUAAAAGAAGCUUUAGCUUCCACUGUUGCACAUGGACCGAUGGGCGGGCAGCGUGAGCGGCAAGCUCUCGAACGGCUAAUUGCUCAUUUUGGAAUCUCGCCCUUUUUUUAUUUUUCUCCCUAUCCUUCCCGGAAACCAAUUAAAAGCUCAAAUGUGACUUAACAGAAGGCCCCACGAUUCUCAUCUCUCCACUGAUUCCUGAUCCUCUUCAUUGCCUUGGGCCUCUGCACCCUUAUUAUUUUAUCAUUUCUUCCUUUCUUUUCACUUCCUUGAUGUGGGAAAGAGAGAUAAAAAUUAAUUAGACGUCAGUCCACCGUAUCAACAAAGUGACGACCCUCGAGUCUUUGACGCAUUAUUAAAUGCUGUAGCUCUCAACUCUCCCUGGCAACAGCGUCACACAGUCUUUUGAACACUACUCCUCCGGUUUCCGUCUCUGCUUCCCAAGAAACAAGCCCAUAACGAAGAUGGGUCUUGUUGUUGCUCAUCUGUUGUUGGCCUCCGUUAUGUUCUUCUCUAUUGGAAGUAAGUUUGUUUUUUAAAUCUCAAAACAAAAUGCAAUAAUCAUCAUAUGGCGUUUAUAUUCAUCUUCUUCUUCUUUUUUCUGGAAAUGUGUGUGUUUCAGGUGCAGAGAUGUCAAGCAAAGUGGGGGUAUGCUACGGUCAGCUGGGGAACAACCUUCCAUCGCCACAGGAGUCGGUGGAACUCAUGAUCAAAUCUCUGAAAGCAACACGGGUCAAAAUCUACGAUGCCAAUCCGAAGAUCCUGAAAGCCCUGAAGAACACAGACAUCCAAGUGUCCAUCAUGGUUCCGAAUGAAAUCAUCAACAACAUUUCCUUAAGCAGCCAAUCCCUCUCCGACCAGUGGGUCCGAACCAACGUCCUCCCUUAUCUCCCCGGUACCAAAAUCCGAUAUCUCCUCGUCGGCAACGAGAUCCUUAGCCUCCCCGAUAAGUCAAUCUGGCCCAACCUCGUACCGGCCAUGCGUAAAAUCAGAAAAUCCCUGAAAACCCUCGGUGCCCGCAAGAUCAAAGUCGGUACCCCCUCCGCUAUGGAUGUCCUGCAGUCGUCGUUUCCCCCUUCCAACGGCACAUUUCGGUCCGAUAUCUCGGAAUCGGUCAUGCGGCCGAUGUUGCAUUUCUUGAACCGGACGAAAUCGUUUUUCUUCGUGGAUGCUUACACGUUCUUCCCUUGGUCGUCGGAUCCGAAGAACAUUCAUCUUGAUUACGCGCUUCUGGAGUCCACUAAUAUCACCUACACCGACCCGGUCACGAAAUUGACCUACACGAACCUUUUCGACCAGAUGCUAGACGCCGUCGUUUUUGCCAUGAAGAAGCUCGGGUACCCGGACAUCCGGAUUUUCAUCGCCGAAACGGGUUGGCCCAAUGGAGGAGACUACGACCAGAUUGGAGCCAAUAUUUACAAUGCCGCCACCUACAACCGGAAUAUUGUCAAAAAGCUUACAGCAAAACCGGCCAUUGGCACCCCGGCCCGACCCGGAUGGGUUUUGCCUUCUUUUAUCUUUGCUCUGUACAACGAGAAUCAGAAACCGGGCCCGGGUACGGAGAGGCAUUUCGGGCUAUUGUAUCCAAACGGGUCGCACGUGUAUGAGAUUGAUUUGAGCGGAAAUGCACCGGAGAAGGAGUACGGGCCGCUGCCGAAGCCGACCAAUAACGAGCCGUAUAAGGGGAAGAUAUGGUGCGUGGCAGCUAAAGUAGCCAACACUACUGCAUUGUCAUCGGCUCUUUCUUAUGCCUGCUCGCAGGGGAAUAAAACCUGUGACCCGAUCCAACCGGGUAAACCUUGUGCUAAACCGGGUUCGUUGGUGUGGAAAGCAAGUUAUGCCUUCAGCUCCUAUUGGUCUCAGUUUAGGAAACUUGGUGGGACCUGUUACUUCAAUGGGCUCGCCACACAGACCAUUAAAGAUCCAAGUAAUUUCAAUUUCUUAUUCUUUUAUCUAUUUUUAACCCUGAAAAUUAUUAAAUAGAUAAAAUUAAUGGUCUCUCUGUUUUUUUUUUUUUCCAAUAUAUUUUCAGGUCAUGGAUCCUGCAAGUUCCCAAGUGUGACCCUUUGAGAUAUUAUGCCAUGGAUGCUUGGGGAUCUACCCCUCAGUGAUGUUGAUGAAUAAGUAGAGCAUUGAUUCAUUGACUUAUUUAUUAGACUAGUGAUUUGCUGAUUUGGGGUGCCAUUUUUUCUUUUUUCCCCUUCAAUUAUUCUAAUUUAACAUCAAAAUAAGAUUAUCAAUUCUUUUGUCUAUGAUCUAUUGAUGUAACCAUGCUUUGGAAAACAUAAGAGAAUGGGCACCCAAAUCAAUUUCCAUCAUGUACUAUUUUUGUUAAAUUGCCUUAUGAAGAGGGCCUAUUCAGAAUUCAACGGCUACAUGAGGUCAUGGAGUCGAGCAAUGGCCAUCGUUCUAUUGCUGGUCCCAUGGUUUUAUUAUUAUUUCCCUAUGAUUAGUGCUUUUGUUUUUCAGACGAAGUAAAGUGAAAAAAGAAAAAAAAUUGCCUAGUGCCAAGUGCCAACGGUCCAUUUGUUUGAGGGUGACUUCGUGAUUGUGGCCUGCAACCUCAAUUUCGAGGAACCCUACAAGCAGUUAAGUCACUUUCCCUUUUCAUUAGCAUUUUAAAUUUAUUAGUAAUGAUGAACCAGCAGCGCCAGCUGUGAUGCUCCUCCUUUUCGGAAGAGAAAUUGACCCGAAUGCUGAGUAAUUAAUGCGCAUCUGAAAACUUGUUCCUCUAUUAAUCUUUAGGUAAAAGUUUGUUUAGUGAUCGUUCACCCGUUAAUUCUUUUAUUUUGAAUUAUUGACGUUGAUCUUAUGAUUAUUUUAAAUCUUUUUAAUUUAUUUUUAUAAUAUUAUAUUUUUUAAUAACUUUUUAUAUUAAAAAUGAUAAUUUAAUUUUUUAUUAAUGUAAAAAUAUUAUUAUAAGACUAACGGCAUGGUAUCAAUAAUUUAAAGAUAAAUAUUAUGAGGUGUUAUUAAAAAUAAAGAGAUUAAACUACUAUUAGCCUCAUAAUAUAAAAAAUUAAAUGAGCUUUCACCUUUAAACUUUGUCGCUUUGCAUAUAUCUUUCCAAUGUUCCAAUAGUAUUGGUUGGAUACAUUUCAAUUGUGACAUAAGAAAAUUGAUAUAUUUGAGUUUAUCCAGAAGAUAUAUGAUUGUAAAUACAUGGAUUAAAUAAUCUGGCUGUAUGUAUUUUAGGAAAAUUAAAAGAUAGCCAAGAUAAAGCAUCUUUUUUGGUUAUACGUGACGAUGACAAUGUAGCAUUUGUUUUAAUUUUGUCGGCAUGCAGGGUCUAGUUAUGGUGUAACUGUAGUACCAUAUUAUAGUUGUAUUUAGUCAUUAAAUCUAAUUAUAGUACAUGUGUGCAACUGAAUUCAAUGACUAUAUACAACUGUAGUAUGUUACUACAGUUGCACCAUAGUUAAGUCCGGCACGUGAUCUGAAAAUAUAAAAGCCUGCGUAAGCAUUAACGAUCAGUCGAUCAAUCUCAAUCUCGUCAACAUGCGCGUGCUUGCUCUUUAGUCUCUAAGCAUCAUCGUGCUAUAUGCUGAAAGUAGCGGAACUUUUCACUUUUGGAAUUAAAAAUUAUUUGUUAUCAAGCUGGGAUAACUGUAGGAAGUUAACUGUAGCUUUCAUGUUAUAUAAUUAAAGUGUUUUUAUAAAUACUAAUUAUUGUGACUUUGAAAUUAUGUUAAUUUAAUAUUAAUAUUAUAAAAAAAUUAUAAUAUCUUUAUUAUUUUUGUUAAAAUUAUAAUUUAAAAUUCAUAUUCAGUAUAUGCAUUAAUUUUUAUUUUAUAGUUGUAACUUUCUUUUUCUAUAGUAAUUAUGCCUUAAAAGGUUGGAUAAUUGUUGUUGGUGGAGCAAGUGUAGCUUUUAUGGUAUUAUAAUAUUUUGAUCAACACUAGUUGUGAUUUGAAAACUAAGUUAAUUUAUUAUCAAUAUUAUAAAAAAUUUAUAAUAUCUUUAUCAUUUUUGUCAAAUUAUAAUCUCAAAGUCAUAUUAAAUAUAUAGUAUUAAUUUUUAUUUCAUAAUUAUACUUUUCUUUCUCUAAAGCAAUUAUACCUUAAAAAAUAAAAUAUUUCAAUAUUAAAUUGAACCUAAAUAGAGUUUGGGUGUGUGAAGCAUUCUCUCUCUCUCUUUUUUUUUUAGGGAAAAGGUGUGAAGCAUUCGUAUAAAUAAGAGAAGAAGACAAAUCAAUUGUUCUUAAUAAUGUUUGUGAUAGUGAUGUAUACAAAAAAAAAUUAUUCUGCAACAAAUUACUGUUAAUCUAUUAUAUAUCUUAGUGUUAUGAAAAAUUAUUUUCUUUUAAAUCGCUUAAUUUUAUCCUUGGAAUAAAAUUAAUAUAUCAUAUAAGUAUAGAUUCCGAAAUGCUUGUCUACAUGCAAAUUUUCAUUUUUUGGUGUAACAAAUGACUUCUGUACAUAAAAGUAAAUGUUCUCUGUUUUAUAGUUUACGCUACCAAAACCCCAAAAAAAGGGCAUAUGUCUUAAUGGUUAAUAAUAAUGAUGUUUUUCUAUUCAUUUUCUACGACCUAAGCUAUAAUGUGACAGAAGCAAUCAAGAAGCAUCAACACAAUCCAUUUUGGGCUUAAUAGUAAUGAGAUUACUUAGUGUCAAUAAAAUUUAAAUUUACUGUUACAUUGAUUCCUAGGGAGCCUUAUUUGUUGUUGAUCAAAUUACCUUGCUAAGCCGUAGGCGUGUGGCGCCUCCAUUUAUCACAUAUAUAGCUCCAUCCACCUCUCUUCACGGCAACUUUCUUCAUUGCAGGAACUCUGGUUCCAUCCUGUUAAACACUGGUCUCACCCUGGCACCAUCGGGCCUCCCUCUGGCCAAAUCGGGCUUCAUUGGGUAAUAUUCAGACGUCGUUGGGUAAUUUUCGGGCAUCAAUUGGUGAUCGUCGACCCACAUCAUUUUGUGAAUCAAAUUCUUGCCGCCGUUAAUUAAGCCACCAACAGACAACUUGUUUUCAUUCUUGAUGUUGAUGUUGUUGUUGUUGUCAUCAGAUGGUGAAAUUGGUGGUUCAGAUUCUGAUGCUUCCGCGUGGUUUAAAACCAACAAAGAAAGGAUUGCCAAAAUCAUUAGCCAUGAUGAGUGGGACUUGGAGACGGCCAUGGUUCAAUUCCCUGUAAAUGUUCCUUAAAAUUCGGCAAUGAUUUUUUGAAAAAAAUUCUGAUUUAAGGGCUUUAUAGAUUUUCUUUUGGAUGUUAACGUAAUUAGCCAAUUUGGCUUUAAUUUCGGAAGUUUUGACUUUGAUCUUUUCCAACGGUGAUUAGUGGCCUUGCUCAUCGGUUUGCCUUUUCUUUUUCCCGUCUAUUAUUGGCUGUAUGUACCAUUUUUCUCUCAAAUUCUGAGUGUUUAAUUUCGGAACGCUGUCUAUUGAACUAUAAUUAGGAGAUCGAGUUUCUUACAAGUUACAAUAACAUUUUUUUGUUGGUAAAUUAUUUUACUGCUUUGAAAGAGAAGAGUAUUUUGGAAAUAUUUCAAUAUUUAUAAUCGCAGUAUUCUAGUUUUGAAUCUUUUGAUACGGGUAAUUUGCAAUGGAAAUUGCUGGCUAGCAAACUAAUAGAAAAUGAACAGAUAAAUUGAAGAAACUUUUACGCACGCCUCAAAGCCAUUAAUCUAUUAUGUUUUAUUCUUUAAUUUUAUCAACAAUAGGAAAAUUUGUCAUAUUCAAUGGCUAUUAAAAUUUUAAAAUUAUUAGUCCAGAUGCUGUGAAGUUAAAUAAUUUUUACAGAAUGAAUUUCGCUCGUUGGAAAGACAUGAUUAUAUUUUUUUGUUACCUGUUUGAAAAUAUGUUGGAUUUCUAAGUGAAGAAGACACAAGCCCACAUUACUAAAGAAAGAAAUAAGCACGAUCGAGGAAGAUGGAGUUAAGCGGCACAUAAUUAAGUCUCUUCUCCCUUUAAUGCUUACCUCUAAUCUAAACAUGUUAAGAAUGCGUUUGCGAUUGAAAUUUGGAUGCUGUUACUUUUAAGUUAUAGUAUUAAAGUGUUUGGUAAAUAUUAACGGCUGUACCUUAAAAGUUAUGUUGAUUUGAUUUUUUAUUUGUAUGGUAGAAAAUCUAUUAUAUCUUUAAUAAUUUUGUCAGUCUCUUCUCCCUUUAAUGCUUACCUCUAAUCUAAACAUGUUAAGAAUGCAUUUGCGAUUGAAAUUUGGAUUGAAAUUUGGAUGCUGUAACUUUGAAGUUAUAGUAUUAAAGUGUUUGGUAAAUACUAACAGCUAUACCUUAAAAGUUAUGUUGAUUUGAUUUUUUAUUUGUAUAAUAGAAAAUCUAUUAUAUCUUUAAUAAUUUUGUCAAAAUUAUUAUUUAAAAUUUAUAUUCACUAAAUAUUAUUAAUUUUUAUUUUUAUAGUUAUAACUUUUUUCCACAACAAGCUACAACACCUUAAUAGUGGCUUAAUAUCAAAGAGGACCUAAGUCUCCAAGAAAAAUAUGUGAAAAACUUAGAACGCAAAUUUACAUUAGAAAAUUUUGUAAUGUAUGAAAUUUUUUUAACUAUUUUGGAUUUACUAUAAUUGGAACUAAAACUAUUGUGUUGCAAGUCUAUGUUGCAAGUGUUCGACACCAAAAUCUAGGCUUAGCUGUUAGUGAUUGAGAAUACUUAGAAUUUAUAAUUGCAAAAGCUAGUAACUAGCGCAGCAUUACUAAAGACUUUUCUAAUUUUAUUUUCUAAAUAUUUAUUUAUUUAUUUAUAUAGUAAAUAGAAGAGUGGAAAAAUAAAACAUAAAUAAGUUUAUAUUAUUUUAAUUAAAUUUUUUAUUCCACAAAUUUUCACUCUCUUUAACAAUGAUGAGAUAAAUAAGAAAAAAAAAGACAUACACACCUCCAGGGUUUGGUAAAAUAAUCACCAACACUCCUAGGCUUUCAAAAAAGGAUAUCAAGACCCCCUUUUGACCAUUAUAUUCUUUACCUCUAUUAUCCCCAAAAAUUUGACUUUAAUUUUUUAAAAUAAUAAUAUUAUAUAAAUAAUGUAAUCUAUGUAGUAGACUAAUAAUUUUAAAAUAUUUCAAUAAAUUUAAAUAUGUAAAUUAUUAUAUUUAUUUUAAUAAUAUUUUUUUAUUGUGGGAUUUUAAAUAAAUAUUAGCAUUAAAUACAUUUCAUAAUUAAAAAAAAUUCUCACAUACUAAUAAGGUUAAAAUUAUUAUUUAACAUAAUAUUCAAAAUAAUUUAAAUUUAAUAUAUUUAAUUUAAUAUUAUGAUUCUAUUUAGUAUAAAAUUUACUUUAAUAUAAUAAAAUAUUAAAAUAUUUUUUAAAUAUUGAAAUUGUUUUAAAAUGUAUAUACUAUUAAAUUUAUUUUAAGUUAUAUUUCUAUUUAUUAUAAAACAUUAGAAUCAAUUUUGGGAUAAUAGAAGUAUAGGGUAUUAUGGUCAAAAGGGGAUCUUGAUAUCUCUUUUUGAAAACUUGAGGGUGUUAAUGACCAUUUCUCCAAACUUUAAGGGUGUAAAUAUCCUUUUCCUGAUAAAUAAUAGGGUGGGGAUACUUCCACCCCACUUGUAAAAAAUAAUUACAAAAAGUUCUCAUUAUUUUUAAAAAUUUUAAAUAAAGAAGAAUUAAUCAAUUAAAUCUAUCUUAUUUUAUUUUGUUGUGACUUAAAUUUUAUUAUUAUAUUUGACUAAUAAGAUUGCUUUAACUUAAAUCUGAAUUGAUUAUUAUACCCUUAAAGGAUAAAAAUACCAAAAAAUUAAUUCAACUUAAAAAAUACUUCAACAAUUUUUUAAUUUUAUACAAAAUUCAUUGUUUCUAAAUAGUUAAUUCUACUUUAUUAGUACGAUUAUUAAUUUUUAAUUAAACUAACAUAAUGUCUUUAUGAGAAAAUACUCAUUAAAUUAUUAAGCUGUCAAAUUUAUGUCAUCUACAUGUAAAAUAUUAAAAAUUAUUAGACUUCAUUUAAGAAGUUAGAUUAUAAGUCACAAAAUUAAGUACCUAAAGUAUUAAAUACAAGAUACAUAUUGUUUUGGGCAAGUGGGUCAUUUUAUGUCAUAAAGCAAAAUAAUUAAAUAGAACAUAUAUUAAAGCUAAUUUUAUAGUAAAAAAAUGUAAGAAAAAGAUAUAAGAAUGAUUUAAUUUAUUAAUUACAUAAAUUUAUUUGUUGAUUUGUACUUAUUAGAAAAAAAUGUAUAUUUAUUAUAAAUAUUUUUUAGAAAUGGGGUGGGUUUACACAAAUAAUGGGGUGGAAAUAUCCCCACCCUAAAUAAUAAUAUAGUACUAAUUGAAAAGGAAGAAGUCUGUCAAGGGAUGAGUAUUAGAAUACUUCUCAAACCAGCCAAGAGAAGUUGCUUGUGACAAUGCUAGAGAGAAGUGACAGCAAUAUGGACAAAAAUAAUUUUAUUUCACACUAGAAAGAAUUUACAAGAGAGCUUUUGUAAGAGCGCUUGAGAGCUUGUAUGUGUGUGCUGGUGGUUGUGUGUAGAGCUGGCAAAAUUUGACACAACCCGAUUAUCCGACACGAGUAAGACAUAAAUAAAUGGGUAUGGGUCUUCAAAUUUAACACGAUUAUUAAAUGGGUCGGGUCUAAGUCAACACGAUUUUUUUCCGUGUCGGGUUAGGGUUAAAAUUCUUGACCCAUUUACCUAAUCAAUGACCCGAUUAUAUUUUCUAUUGUAAAAUAAUUUACAUAUUCUUAUCAUUAAAACUCAAAUAUUAGAAAUGAUUUUCUUUUUUUUUAAUUCUUUAAAAGGGUGAAUAUAAACACAGUGUUUUAUUUAUAAAAUUUUAAAUACAUUUAGAGCAUCAAUAGUGUAAAUGUGUAAAAAUUGAUAGACAUGUAUAUUUUAUAAUAUUGAUAUAUAAUAUUAUAUAUAUAAUUAAAACCUCAAUAGUGUAAAUGUGUAAUAUAUUGGUAGAUAUGUAUAUUUUAUAAUAUCAAUAAAUUAUGUAUGUAUGUAUGUAUGUACAUACGUAUGUAUGAUAGUGUGUAAAUAUUUGAUGUAACUUUUGUUCAAUAUAUAAAUAUUAAACGGGUUAUUGGGUAACUCGAUUAUUUUUCCGUGUCGGGUUUGGGUCUCAAUAUUUUGACACGAUUAUUAAAUGGGUCGGGUUUUGGUCGACCUAAAUUUGACACGACACGAACACGACCCGAUGACCCGUUUUGUCAGCUCUAGUUGUGUGUGUGGUGUGGUGGUGAGCAAAUAAGGAGGGCUUACCCUUAUUUAUAGUUGAUCUCCCUAGGGCAAGUGGACAAAACAUCUCGUAAGGACCUAAAUGCACAAACCUAGAAACUUCUAAGAUAUUUACAAUUGUAAAGAAGUCUAGAAUUCGGGCUAGGGUUGGAUGAUUGCUGAGCGCACCACGGUAAGGUUGUUGUGUGCGGUGGCCCAUUACUAAGCACAAACUCCUUCUAAACGCAUUUCGUCUUUAGUGCUAAGUGUAACCCGCUUCUAAGCGCACUCCACGUCUAAGCAGACUUUUAGUAAGUGAACCCAUGUGCACCAAAUUAACAUCUAAUUGCGGGAGAUUUGAGUGGCCCGUGACAAGUCACUCUUGAUUAUUCCCUAUUUAAUAUUAAAGGAAGAAAAGAACAAUCUUAUUUAAGAACCUUUUAAAAUUUUUAAUUAUCGCUGAAGUAGGUCUUCAAAUAAGAAAUAAAAUAUGAUUUGAAGAGAUUUUUAGAGAUGCUUUAAUUACUUCGCCAAUAAGAUUGGUUUGUACCUUGGCCGAUUAUCCUUAAAGGGGAGCGUUCGAGUGCAUGACUUAAUAUAUAUGUACGGUAUAAAAUUGAUUAUAAACUUGCCAUUCGUUGAUAAUCGAAAAGGAAAUGGAGAUCUUGACUAAGCCAAUUCAUGGUGCAUGCGUGGAUGCAAUUCAUAACUAAAUGACAACAAUACGAUCUGGCUUGAUAAUGAGAUUAAUUAAUGAAUGAUGUUCAUCGAUUACAUUACACUUUGCUACAUCAAUCCCAUAGGCCUUAUUUCGUGCAAAAUUAUCAAUCAAUUACAGAGAUAUAAUUUUUUUUUCUGAGUCAUUAAGCAUGCAUGGUGCCACCAAAGACACAUGGAGCUUGGCCUCUUACGGGUUCGGCUGCUUUCUAUUUCUGUUCCUCGGAUUCGGGUUUUGAGACGCCUCUUUCAGUUUUUUAUAAUCAACGUACCCGAUGCCGUGCUCAAGAGUGCCUGCCUUGUUGGUCGUCGUCACCGCCGCCUCUGCCGGCUGGCAAAAUGGUAUCGUAAUGCCCCAUAUUUGGCAGUAAUUCUUCGCCUGAUUUUUCACUUGAUUAGAUGCAUUCACGUUAUUCACAAAUAACAGUGAAACAAUUGCCAAGGUCAUUAGCCAUGAUGUGAACUUGGAUACCGCCAUUUUUUCUUUCUGUAAAUGAUCUUGUAAUUUUGCAAUUUUUUUCUAAUUCCAACUUCGGGGCUAUAUAAAGAUUUUUGUAUGGAGGGUUCCAAGUUAGCAAUUGGAUCUAAAUUUGGAAGUUUUGACCUUUUCCCCACGUUUUGUUUGUGGGAUAAUUUGGGAUGAGAGUAAUAUAUAUAAUAAGAUUCCGUUGUAUCACCGAUAUUUAUUCUGACUUGGUUUAUUUCUUUGGUUAUUUUGUGUGUGAUUUUUAGACUAUUUGUUAGGCAGCAACUAGGUAAACUCAUAUACUCGCCCUUUGGCCGAGUGGCAGCCGUUCAAGUCCCCACAAAAGCUGAGUGGUAGCAGUUUAAGCCUCCACAAAAGUAUUGUGGGGGCUAAUCCUUCCUCAAUUAUCAUUUUUAAUUGAGUGAAAGUUAGUCUUCUUCUUUACCAAUGUGAGUAGAGUAGACAUUUCUUGAAAAAUAUUAUAAAGGGUAAAAAUCUGGGCAGUGUUUCAUGAGAAUGUAUGUAAACUAUGGUAAAAAUAUGGGCAGUGCUUCAUGAGAAUGUAUGUAAAUUAGUCUCAAUAAUAGUCUCAUGUAAAUAUGAGUGAUAAUCUCAUUAUAAAUAUCAGUAAUAGUCUCAUGUAAUAUGACUUAUAGUCUGAUUGUAAUGGUAAGUUAAAAAAAAAGCUUGGUAAAUCUAGAUGAAAAUAAUACUAAAAAAAGAUCACAAAUAAAAUAAUUAAGAUUAAUUGUAACAAUUAAUCCUGCAUAUUGCACAUAUAUCAAUGUUAAGAAGAAUCCAUGGACAAAGUUGUUGAAUAAGCAAAUUGAGUAUAUCGCAUUGAGGAAAGUUAAACAAUAAAUACCAAAUAUCCAAGCAAAAAGUAAAAACAAAUAGACAAAAAUGUAUUUUGAUUUGUUCCUGUAAAUGCUUCGAUUUGAGUUUAAUAAUCUUGAAUCAUUAAACGAAGUACAAGAAUUAAUCUCAAAUUAAGAGACCAACAUUGUCAUUCGUGGUCUUGGAUUUAUGCCGACGACUCAUUUAUGAACAAUAAACAUGACGUAUCAGUCAUCGAACAACAUCCGAAAGUUAUCGGUCUCAGCAAUUAGAAAUCUAGAGUAUAUCUACUAAUGAUAGGUGAACACAUGACAAUAAAUGCCAAAAAAAAAUUUAAAAUAAAAAUUUAUGUUCUCUUUCUUCAAUAUCCAUCCAAUAUUUUUUAUUUAAAAAAAAAAGAAACAAAUCAUUAAUGUUGCUGUUUCUGUCUCGCUUCAUUAGCUCAAUCAUAUUCUUCUGUUCUCUUCUCAGUCUUUAUCUUCAUUCUAUUGACUGCCAUUCUUAAAAGCUUGUGAAAAAAAAGAAGGAUUUUUUUAUGAUGAAGAUGGUUUUUGUUGAUUUCGUCACUGGCAGUGAAGUAGCUGCAGAUUUCUUUAUGAUCGAUGAUGAAGAAGUUGAUUUUGCAAUGCUGCUAUUGUGUCAUCCCAAGUAUUGUGAUCGGGCUAGUAGAGACUCUUUCAAUGGACAUUGCAGCUGCCUUCUCGCAGCUGGGGAGAUUGUAUUGGAUUUAUUUUUAUUUUGUUAGCUUAUUAUUAUUCAGAUUAUUAAUGAAUUUUAAUGAAUAAUAUUUUAUCUUUUUUUUUUAACUAGUUCAUUUGGAAUUCGAAUUUCUUCUGUUUAGUUCUAAUUUGUAACUGUAUAUUUAAACUUGUUUAUCAUAAUCGCAAGAUCAAAUAGUAAGCUCUAUAACAUCUUAAUUUCCAUUAAAUCCCUGAUAACAUUAUUCUUUUGUAAAAAUAAAAAAUCUGCUGGCAGUUAGAACUUAUUGUAUCCAAUAAAGAGUAACUAACAUUUGCUUAGAAAAACAAAAAACUUCUAGAGAUGAGUUAACGUUGUCAUAUGUUUUAAUUGCCCGAAACAAUUACAUCGUAGCUUUGCUGAUAUCUUAACAACUAAAGAGUAAAAUGAAAUUAUGUCUUAAUUUUGUCAAAUAAAUUGAUAAAAGAAUUGCAAAUAUAUGGUGAUGAGAUAAUCAAGAGUUAUAGAAUUUUAAUUACAGAAGAACAGAAUAGUAGCUAUUAAUAGACCAAUAUAGUCACUCGGCCUUUAGUUGAGUGGUUGGGCUGUGUGAGGGCAGCAAUUCAAGUCUCACAAAAGUAUUGUGGGGCUCAAGUCCUUCCUCAAUUAUAACUUAUAAUUGAGUGAAGGUCAGUCUUCUCCCUGACUAAUGUGAGUGGAGUAGACGUCUCUCGAAUAUUAGAGAGGAUAAAAAUUUGGACGGUGCUUCAUGAGAAUGUACGUAAACUAAAUCCUAGUAAUAGUCCCAUGUAAAUAUAAGUGAUAGUUUGAUUGUAAAUAGACGUCUCUCGAAUAUUAAAAAGGAUAAAAAUUUGGACGGUGCUUCAUGAGAAUGUACGUAAACUAAAUCCUAGUAAUAGUCCCAUGUAAAUAUAAGUGAUAGUUUGAUUGUAAAUAUCAGUAAUAUUCUCAUGUAAUAUGAGUGAUAAUCUGAUUGUAAUAAUCAGUUUAAAAAAAAUAAUAGACCAAUAUGCUACAAGAAUUAUUGUUUAAGAUUACUUUAUGAGAAAUGUGAAAAAGCACUGUCUCAAUGUUCUAUGCAAAAAUUUAUAUAUUUCAAGUAACAUAAUUUUCAUCAUUAAAAAAAAAAUGCUUCUUCAGAGGGUUUAAAAAAUGGCACUAAAAUGGAAAUAAAGAUUAGAGAAUGAAAUAAUAAAGUGACAAAGAAAUAGCAACAUUAAUGAUUGACCUCUUUUUUUAAAUUAAAAAAUAUUAGAGGAAUAUUGAAAAGAGAGAAUCACAAAUUCAAAUUUUAAAAAUUUUCAACAUUUAUUAAUUCUAUCUGGCUAUGUUGGACUAACUCUAAUGUAGAGCCGACAAGUAUAGCCUUACAAUCAAAACUCAAAGGGACUUGUGGUUAUCAUCGCACAAUUAUAUUUGUUAGUUCUAUGUUGGAAUUGCUCCAACUUAGAGAAGACACAGUCAUGUGCUGUUUUGAAAGUCACUUAACACACGCGCACACUGUUAAAUGCAUGAUUUGAACUAUGUAAGACCUUUAUAUAAUAAGUCAAGUAAAACAGAUAAAAAAAAUUUCAUAGUGAAAAUAUAAAAUUAAUUCAAAAGAUUAAAGGAAUGGAUAAAUGGGUGGAUUUGAUUAUGAACUGUGUCACUACUCCCACAUUCUCUAUUCUGAUAAAUGGGAUUGCAAAAGGUCUAAUUCAGGCCCAAAGAGGCCUUCGACAGGGAUGUCCGUUAUCACCAUAUUUGUUCAUCAUAUGUGCAGAAGUAUUUUCAAAUCUUUUAUUGCAGGGAGAGCGGCAAAGUUGGAUUCACGGGCUGGAAUUUUCUAGAGACAUCACUAUUUUCCACCUUCUUUUUGCGGAAGAUAGCUUUGUAUUCACAAGGGCUAAUAUUGAAGAGUGCAAGCAUUUAAAGUCAAAUUUUGAUUGCUAUACUUCUGCAUCAGGCCAAGUUUUUGACUAUGAAAAAUCAUUAAUGUUCCUUAGUGGUCAGAUUCAGGAAGGACAAAUCACAGCAAUAAAGAAGUUUUUUGAUCUCACUGUGGUGUCUAAGCAUGAGAAAUACUUGGGCUUGCCUUCAAUGAUAGGAGGGAAAAGAACAAGUUUCUUUAACGAUAUUAAACUCAAAGUCUUGAGUAAGAUAUCUAGUUGGCAGCACAAAAUUUUUUCCAAUAGAGGCAAGGAAAUUCUGAUAAAAGUCGUAGCUCAGGUUGUCCCUGCAUAUGCAAUGAGUGUUUUUAAAAUUUCGAUAGAGCUGUGCAAUGAAAUCCAGAGAGGAAUGGCAAGAUUUUGGCGGGCACCGAAGGAAGAUAGAAAAGGAAUGCACUCGACAAAAUGAGAGAAGAUGAGAUGUGCUAAAUAUAGAGGAGGAAUGAGAUUCAGAGACAUAUCUAGUUUUAACCAAGCCUUGGUUGCAAAGCAAGGUUGGAGGCUGAUUUAGUAUCCUGAUUCCUUGGUAGCAAGAGUGUUGAAAGCAAAAUAUUUUAAGAACUCUCAUUUUCUCAAGGCCAAGACAAGAUCCAACCCUUCUUUUGUUUGGAAAAGCAUCUUAUAGGAUAGACAGGUUCUUCAAAUAGGCAUCAGAUGGAGAGUUGGAAGAAGAGAAAAAAUUAAAAUCCACUCCAGUAAUUGGCUGCCUAGGCCAAUGUCUUUUAAACCAAUUGUGAGAUCAAUGCUGCCAGCUGACACCAGAGUUUCUGAGCUGAUUGGUCCUAACCACAGGUGGGAUGAAGCUUUAAUUCAGCAGAACUUUGCUGCAGAUGAUGCUGAAGCUAUUAUGAGAAUUCCUUUGCCUAGUGAGCCCAAAGAAGAUGAGAUGCUUUGGCACUAUGACAAGAAGGGGAAUUAUUCUGUUAAAAAUGGUUACCAAUUAGCUCUUAAGAUCAAAUUUCCUGACAAGUCUUGUUGUUCAAACUCUGACCCCCAAGGUUGGCAAACAAUAUGGAAGUUGGGGAUUCCUAAAAAGGUGAAAAUUUUCUUAUGGAGAGCUGCAAAAAACUUGAUGCCAACUAGGAAAACUUAUGGAAAAGGAAGGUGGUGCAUGAGCUUAUCUGUCAAAUAUGUAAGAAGGAGCUGGAAAAUAUUCCCCAUGCUCUGCUGGACUGCAAACUUGCCAAGAAAAUGUGGAGGCACACCCAUAUUGCUGCAGAAGUUCAAAAUGAAGCCAGACAGGAUUUGUUGAGCAUGCUGCAAAGCUUGACAAAAAAAACUAACAACCAAGGAGAUUAAGCUGGUAUCUUUUGUGUGGUGGGGGUGUGGAAUGCAAGGAACAAAGUUAUUUAUGAAGGAAAAAGCCAGAUUCUGCCAUAUCAAUAGCUAAGGUUACUGCAGUCAUGGAAGCUUAUCAAAGAGUCAAAGAGCUUGAGCAGUAGUAAUUUAAACAAAGAGAGUCGAGAGAAACACAUCAAUGGGAACCGCCCUCUAAAGGGUGGCAUAAAAUCAAUGUGGAUGCGGCUAUUGACAAAAAUCAGCAAAUUGCAAGUCUUGGGGUUGUUAUCAAAGACUCAUCUCAGAAGAUUGUAGCAGCAACUAGUAGGUGUAUAAAAUUUUAUGAGGACACCUCUUUUGCAGAAGCUGAGGCAGCCAAAUGGGGAUUAUACGUAGCUCAAAAUGCUAGACUUUCAUCAGUAAUUAUUGAAUCUGAUUGCUUAGAGGUGGUUGAGCUAAUUAAUAAUAGGAAAAGCAGUCGGAUUGAAUUAUGCUGGCCUAUUUCUGAUAUAAUCAGCAGCAGCAGGAAAGAUUUCCAAGUGGUUAAAUGUCAGCAUGUUCUUCGAGCUUGUAAUACUAUUGCUCAUAGCUUGGCUAAAAGAGCGAUAAGAUGUGGUGAAACCAAUAUUUGGCUGGAAAACUUUCCGGACGUUGUCCUGUCUUAAUUUCAGUUGAAUGGUAGAAAGUUUUUUCUUUCUUUCAAAAAAAAAAAAAACAUAAAGAAGAAAUAGCCUUUAGGCUAAUUGAAAAGCGAGGGAAGCCUCUGGAUUUCUGAAAACAGCAUUUAUAAGGCUCUGGUUGCUAGGCUAAAUUCCUAGAUCUCCUCGUGAAGAGGGGGGGGGGGGGGGGGGAGAGAGAGAGAUUCAUCAAAUUCUUAUUCUUUAUAAUAGUGAAACUCAUUGUCUUAUUUUUCAGUGAUUUUAGUGCUGAACCACUUUAAUUUUAUGUCGUUUAAUUAUAUUUUCGUUUCAGUUUCCGAAGAUAUAAUUAGAGUCUCGAAAAAAUUGUUUCUUUGAAAAAUUGGAAUAAAACACAAACAACCCACCCAAAAAAAAAAACCUGCAUGUCUCUUCUUCUUUGAUUUCUUGCAAGUUACAACGUACGCACUACAGGAAGGCAUCCCAAAUUUUCAUGCCCUCCACACAAACGAGUUUUUAUUAUUUAUAUUCCAACCUUAUACAAAACUAAAGAUCCCUCUCUAAAUCUUUCUCUAAUUUGCAAUGAAGGUUUUAACUCAGCCAGGGGCAGUCAGAAUCAUUUAUUCGUUGAGUUUUGAAAUUAUACAUCUCAGGUUAUAUUCUAAAAUGUAAAAUCUCUUCCCCAAUACUCUCAUAAGAAAUUAUUAACAUGAGGGCCCACCCCAAGAUGAGUGGUCUCUUAUUCCGACUUUUCCAGAGCCUACGGUAGCACAUUCCGGGAAGUCCAAUAAACAAAUCAUAAUUCGCACUAAAAACUGAUGAUGUUUUACAAUUUUAUCAAUAAUAAGAAUUAAUAUUAAAAGAAUAAUUAAUUUUUGUGGGUACGGUGUCUUCAUCAGUUAGGGGGAUUUUCUUUUUAUACUUCUAUUAUACAUACAAUCAACUAAUAAAAUCAUUAUAUGUGUACAAUGCAGUAUACGAUGUGUUAAAAUCAUUAUGGACUUGUUGUUCAUAGGUCAAAUGUACCAAAGCUUUAUUUUUCCUUCUUUCAAUCUUCACACAUCGUUCGAUCUUUCUUUUUUGAUGUAUGCGGGCUCCGCUUCCAUAGUCUCCUUCUCCCUUCUGUAAUCGGAUGGAGUAUGAUACCAGGUGACACCUAGACCGCGCAUUGGCCGGGGAGAGCCAACCGUCGCCAUUUCCGACGCCGUUUCUGCAUCAGAUGCUUCCGCUGUGUUGUUUAAAACCAGCAUUGAAAGAAUUGCCGAGAUCAUUAGCCAUGAUGUGAACUUAGACACCGCCAUGACUUGAUUUUAUUCAACAUUAAUUGCCUAUUUCUUAAUCUGGGCUCAGGGCUAAUUUAUGUAUAAAAAGAAAUUAAUGAGUUCUUUUUCUAACUUCGGAAUUAGCUUUAAAUAAAUUUGACCAUUUCCAACAUGGUUAUUGUGAUAACUUUAGAUAACAUGAUAAUGAUAAGAUUAAUAAUAAAGAUUUUGUUGUAUCAUCAUUUACUUUGGUUGGUUACGAUAUAUUUAGAGUCUGUUUAGUUGGUUCCUUUGAAAAUCUUUUGACCAGCAAUAUUUUAGUAAAACUUUUUAUGUUAGUAAAAAUGUAAAAUAACCAUAAAAUAAUUUAUCAUAAAAAAAAAAAACUUGCUGGUGUAAUAAAAACUGCGAGCCAAUUACAUUAAACUUUUUUCCUGAGAAAUUGCGUGUGGAGAAAUUUCUAAAUCUUGACAAUGCAUCCGAAAACUGCUCAACCCCUCCUCUCCAGAACCCGGAAAUUCUGAAAUUAAAAUUUAAGAGAAGCUGAUCCUACCGUUCAUCAUUCUGACUUUCAUCUUUCAUGAGCUUGAUCAUAUCAUCAAUACGAAGAAUUGUGGUUGCUGCUUCAGUUGCAAACAAGCUCUCUCUACCACUUCGUGGGCAGAGCCAAGAAGUGACGAAUCAAAUGUUUCCUUCCCCUUCCAUGUCAGCAAAUGUUGAAACCUCACAAAUUGACAACCUGUUAACAGCAUGUUCCUCAGAAUAUCAAUUCCUCCAAGGAGGAAAAUGCUUGUGUCAACCACAAGAAUGAAUGAUACAUUUGUCAGAGCGUUUGUCUUCAACACGCAAAAUAAUCAAGCAUACCCUUGGCACUCAUGAGUUAGCUGAGUAAAAUCCUGUAGGUUCCAAUACAUAAAACUGGAAGCCCACAUGUGGAUCUCAAGUAAUUAACUCACAUAAUUUAGUAUAAACCGAAAAAUUCCGGCCCUUUCUGCAACAAAAACAUACUAACAUUUGAGGACUCAAUAAAGUCAAAACAGAAGAACAGACUAAGUGACUAACAAAAUGAAUUGUAAACAUUUCACAUAAAUUUCCUUUUGGUAUGACCAGAAAUUUCAAUAAAUUACCGCCUCGCUUGCACAGGUGUAAAUGAGAAAUUUAAGUGUACAUUAAAGAUCUGCAAACUGAACAAAACAACUGUAACUGUAAAAAAACUGCUGCUCGAAGACAAGAAACAGUAUUCACAAAAAAUGGAAAAACUAACUGAAUCAUUCAAGGUAUUUGCAGUUUAAAGACACAGAGACCUUAAAUUUUUUUUUUUCAGUCCUGCAUGGUCGAGCUAUAAGUUCAUAGUUGUUUUUGUUUAAUCAGAUAACACAAUCUUCAGUUCUGUAAUUACCAGGUUCAGAAACGCAGGGAUACGACCACACUAUCACUAUGCAUGCUCCCAAUAUCUAAUGAUACAGGCAAAAUUAAUCAAACUGGAUGUAAUUAGAUGUAGCAUGUUUUGGUAGAGGGAGCAGCAAGUUAAAAACCAUAUUGUGAAUUUACAACCCAUCGUCAGAUCACCUCUGACGAAUUUCUCAAGAUCUCUGGGAUUGGUAACUGAGAGUUGGAUACCCAACUGCGUUUUUGUCUUCUGGAGAUUGAAGUCAAGACAGGCAAUCUUUGCGAGCCCAACUCUUAGAUGCAUUCCCUGAGCAGCACGACCAGUGUUACGAGCAUGUGCCCAUUUAGCAAGUAGCUAGCUCUAGCCUUUUUUCCAUGAGCUUUCAAAUAUUGAUACCCUGGAUUGUGCAGAAAGCGAUCACAGUAUUAUAACUUUUUCAGCUAAGUAGCACUGAAAAAAUUAAAAAAGAAUGGAAUCAGUAGUUAAAAUAUUGGAAAAAGGAACUUCAAGAAAAGAUACAUAUCGCAUCUUUCAAACUCAUAAAAGGAUCAACAUAAAGGUUCUUCACAGGCAAUAUGUAUUGAACAAUCAGAAAAUACCAACCUUGAUUAGGUACUUUGACUUCCCCUCAUUGAUCGGUCAUCUUUACCGCUUCAACUACAUCUACAACCUAUGAUGAGCAUAAUUUAUAUACAUAUUUUACUCUUUAUUAUAUAAUUGCUAAGUUAAUUUUAUUUGUUAUUUUUAAUUAAUUGAAUUGUUUUAUUGAAUAGGGAAUUAAUUGGAGAUUAUGGAUGAAAAGUAUAUAAAGAAUAACAAUUGGACAACAUUGAAAAUCAAGUCAAUUUGUGAAAGUGUAUGAAAUUCAAUCCGAAGAAGCCGAAGCCAAUAAAUUGAAUUCUCCAUGCUAGUGCAAACAAAGAAGAAAUUUAAAGCUAAAGUGGCCAGCACGUGGGAAAGCAAUUGCAUGACAUUAAAAAAGGAAUGAAAAUUCCAAGUGGGCUUCACAUGCAUGGGCUCAAAGUCGGUUGUGCUUGGCUUGUUUUAAAACCUUUUGAUUUGAGGAUUUUGUGGGGAGUUACAAUAUAAAAGCCGAACUUUGGCUUUUGCAAGAGAGAGGAGCCGCCAGAGGAGGGAAACGCGAGACAAAGAGAAGAAAAUCUGCAGCAGUUCGGCUUCUAUGGCUGAAUUUAUUUUAUUUGUUGUUCCCAAUUUAAAUAUGUUUAGCUAAUUUUCUUAUACUGAGGUUAAGGAUGAAACUGUAUUUAAUGAAAUAAUUAUCUUUUUAUUUAUUUAAUUCCCUAUAUAUGUUCUUUAAUGAUUAUAGUUUUUAUUUCACAUGAUUAAUUGGAUGUUAUUAAAAUCUUUUCAUCAAUUCUGUCAUGCAUUAUUGAUUGUUAGGAUUAAUAUUCGAUUAAAUCUAUGCUUGGAUCUAUAAAGUUUAUACAUGAUUAUCUUUGAUUCUAUGUCUUUCAUUAAAUUGUUUACACAGAGCACUUAGGAAAAACUUUGACUCUUUGUUAUUCAAUAUGUUUACAUGGGACACUUAGAUAUCAUAUUAUUAAGCAGAAAAAGAACAUACAAAAGAUUAAUAUUAUUUGGGCUUAAUUGUUAUAUCCAUGAGAUGACAUAGAUUGAUUUCGAGUUGUCACUCUAAAAUUGAGGAUUAAUGAAUAUUUAGAUAAUUACUAGUUGAAUAGUGAUGGAUUCUGAAACCUUGGUAAUUCUUAUCUUAUUGAAUUCUCCUUUAUUUUAAUUGCUUCCUUAGUUUAAUUAGUUUGAUUUCUCUUAAAAUCUCAAUUUUCUCAACUAGGUUAGGAUUAAUAUUAAUUUUGGAUUUAAAUUAGACUUUUCAAUUUAUAUCAAUCCAUGUGGGAUCGACCUCGUUACCACUAUUCUAUCUCUAGAUUCCUGCACUUGCGAGUAUAUUAAAAUUUUCACAACAAGUUUGUUGAAAGCAGCAACUGUGAAGGGUCAAAGGUUGACCUUGAAGCCAAGCUGGCAUGCCACCUAAGCUACUCUGAUUUGCAGCCAGCUAAUGUGGAAGAUGAGUCGAAUUUAUUGAGCUGGCAAAACUGUUAUGCUGAAGAAUAUCAGCACAUGAGCAUGGAGAAGCUGAACCUUCUAGAAGCAUAAUAUGAUUAGUUCAUUAUUCUCACAUAUCAUUUUUAUUUAUUUCCAUGUAAUACCCCUAUACUAGCUGUCAUUAUUUCUUUGUCUCUAUAUAAACCAGAAUGGCUCUGUAUUUCAAUUCAUUCAAGUUAGCUAUAAGAAAAGAGGCCUAGUUAUUACACUAUGCUUGCAUUACUGAAAGCAAUUCUUAAGAAUUUAAGUUGGUAUCAGAGCUAACUUUGAGCUAUGGUAAGCAGCAGUGAUAAUGAAACAAAUAUAAAUCCAACGCAGGUUGAUUCAAGCGAUCAACUAGAUGACUUGAAUCAAAAUCAAAACUAGAACUCGUUACAAAAUACUGAGCUGCAAAAUCGAGGUCUUAAUGUUAGAAACACAGCACAAAUGAGUGCAUCACCCACCCAGCACAUCACUAGCAACACUUAUGUUUUUACUACUCCGAUCAACCUAACUCAAAGCAACUUCAUACUCUGGAAAUCACAAGUGAUUUUCAGUAUUAGAGCAAAUGAGCUUGAAGGGUUUAUUGAUGGUAGUCAUGUCUGCCCUCUUAAAGUUUUUAUAAACCCUAAACCUAAUCGAACCAUCAUAACUACACAUAAUCCUGAAUAUCAUAUUUAGAAGAAACAGGACCAUAUCCUACUAAGUUGGCUACUGUCAUCACUAAAUGAAGGAGUUUUAGGCACCGUAGUAGAUUGUUCCACCUCCUGUGAGGUAUGGACAACUCUAGCUAACCAAUUUAGUGCUAGAACAAGAGCAAUAAUAUUAUACCUCAGAACUCAAAUUCAAACCACUAAAAAGGGUUCAUCAACCAUUCAUGAAUAUUACUCCAAAAUAAAAACCUUACUGAAUUCACUUAGAGAUACAGGGAACAAUAUGAGUGAUGAUGAUUUCAUUAUGUGUGUGCUAGCUGGGUUGGGGCCAGAAUAUGAUUCAAUGGUUACUAAUAUCAACUCAAUGCAGGAGAGUCCUUCACUCUCAGAAGUACAUGGUAUGUUGUUGAGUCAAGAGAACAGAACUGAACAAAACUUGAGCUCAGGGAUUAUUGAAGCAAACUAUGCACAAAUGAGGAAUGGGAAAAGAAGCUGGAACAACAGUGAGAGAGCUACCCAUCAACAGCUGCCUGGAAUAGUCUUUAGAAGCCCUAGAAACAAUCCUACAAAUAACCAAGUCAAUCAAAACCCUCAAGACAAAGGAAAAGGAAAAGCAGUGGCUGAUGACAAUGGUUCAGAUCCAAAAGGACCAUGUCAAAUCUGCUGGAAAAUGGGGCACAUAGCAGCUAAGUGUUGGCACAGAUUCAAGAAAAAACUAUGUGCCACAACCAAACAGAAUGAAAGAACAAAGGGGUACGUAUGUAGCUGCAGCCGAAGGUCAAAGCAGUGGAGCCUGGUAUCUUGACAGUGGUGCCACCAAUCACGUGACCAACACUCUUGGAAACAUCAACAUCAACUCUGAAUACUAAGAUAAUAAUAAGUUAGCUAUUGGUAAUGGUGAAAGACUCUUGAUCAGUCACAUUGAUUACUCUGAUUUGCCCACAUACCUUAAACGAUAUAUUAUAUGUGCCUAACAUAAUCAAUAACCUUAUUAGCAUCUCAAAAUUACUACAUGACAAUGAUAUUGAUAUUGAGUUUCAAAAAUAUGUUUGUUUUAUUAAGGACAAGAGACAAGGGAAAAUUCUGGUGAAAUGAGUGGCUAAAGAUGGGCUAUAUGAGCUGCUGUGCUUACUUGCUAACCCGAGCAGGAAUAAAAUUCCUUAUGCUGCUUUAUUAUCUGCUUCCUCAAAGUCAGAGUCAAUAAACAACAUUAGUUGUCCAGUGUCCAUGUUGUCUUUUAAUUCAAGUAAUGAGUCUGUCAAAGUCAGUGUUGAGUCAAGUGUAGCUAAUAAGUCAAGUGGCAACAAUUUACAAGCUGCAAAAGACAUUGAUUUGUGGCAUUCCAGUCUAGGACACCCUAGUAUAUUAGUCUUGAAAAACACCUUAUUAUCUUGCAAUCAGCUCAAAAUAAAUAAAGAUGAUGUUCCUUCAUUUUGCUGCGCAUGUCAGUAUGGAAAGCAAUCAAAACAACCAUUCAAAAGCACUGAAACCAAAACUAAGAUAGCCUUCGAAUUAAUUCACAUAGACCUAUGGGGACCAGCACCAAUUCCUUCAACUCAUGGACACCGAUACUACAUUUCUUUUGUUGAUGACAAAAUAAAAUACACAUGGCUCUACCCUUUAGCAGCAAAGUCUCAAGCUCUGAACACUUUCAUUACUUUCAAAAAUCAAAUUGAAAAACAAUUAAACCUAACAAUCAAAGCAUUGCAAACAGACAUGGGAGGUGAAUUAAAAACCUUUGAACCAUAUUUGAAAAUAGAGGGAAUAAUUCUAAGACAUUCAUGUCUCUACUUGCAUGAACAAAAUGACAAUGUUGAGAGAAAACACAAACACAUUGUGGAGACUGGACUUGCCCUGCUGGCUCAAGCCAAAAUGCCCUUAAAGUUUUGGCAAGAAGCCUUUAGUUAUGCUACCUUUAUCAAUAACAGACUUGCUUCACCUGUGCUAAAAAAAUAAGACACCAUUUGAAUAACUAUACUCUCUCAAACCAGAUUAUACACAAGUUAAAGUAUUUGGCUGUGAAUGUUUCCUAUUUCUAAGACCAUACAACAAACAUAAAUUUGAUUUCCACACCUCCAAAUGCAUCAUAUUGGGAAAAAGCAAUACUCACAAAUGAUAUGUCUAUAUAAGUGACUCAGGUAGAAUUUACAUCUCAGUCAGUGUCAAAUUCAAUGAAAAUUUCUUUCCUUUUAAAAAUGAUUCUAGCUUUAGCAAACAAGAGUCAAUAAAGGAAGGUGAUGAGGUUGCAUUGUUUGAAAAGUUUCAAGUUGUGUCAUUUUCAGUUAAUAGUCCCCAUAACCUCACACAAGUAACAACAGCUCACAUUCAUUCUCAAAGCACUGCUGGAAAUACAGAAUACAACCCAAGUCCAGUUCAGAAUGAAAUGCAACAUGUUACUGACACUGACACAAUCUCAGCUAGUCAUUCAUCUCAAACACAUUCACCUCAUUUUCAUUCAAUUCACAGUCCACCAAAAAUCACAAAAAUAAACAAUCAGAACCUUCCCACACAAAAAAAACUUGCCUUCACACCCCAUGAUAACAAGGUCCAAGGCUGGCAUUUUCAAACCAAAAUUAUACCAGGUUUCGAGCAAAAUACAACCCUUACUUCCCAAAAACACCUCAGAUGCCUUAAAGGAUCCAAAAUGGAAAAAGGCAAUGGAGGAUAAGUAUUAUGCGUUGAUGAAGAAUAAAACUUGGACCUUGAUACCAAAUAACCAAAACUACAAGCUGAUUGGAAAAAAAUGGGUAUACAAAGUGAAGGAAAAUUCGGAUGGCACUAUUAACAAAUAUAAGGCCAGACUAGUUGCAAAGGAGUUCCUACAAAUUCUAAGACUUGAUUUUAAUGAGACAUUUAGCCCUGUUGUUAAAGCUGCAACUAUCAGAAUCAUUAUAACCUUGGCUGUAAACAAUGACUGGUUGCUUAGGCAAGUGGACAUAAACAAUGCUUUCUUAAAUGAGGACUUGACAAAGACAGUAUACAUGCCACAACCUAAGGGUUUUGAAGACAAAAACAGGCCAAACUACAUUUGCAAAUUGAAAAAGACUUUGUAUGGAUUGAGACAAACUCCGAGGGCAUGGUUUGACAAAUUGAAAGGUGCUUUGAGCUCUUGGGGAUUUAAAAUUUCUAGGAGUGAUACAUCUUUGUUUUUCAGAAGAGCAGAAUAAAAAAUAAUUAUUAUGCUUAUAUAUGUAGAUGAUAUCAUAAUCAUAAGAAGUGACAGCAAGGGUAUUGAAGAAGUGGUAAAAGAUUUGAAUACAACUUUUGCCUUGAAAGAUCUCGAAGACUUGAAUUUCUUUCUUAUGAUACAAGUUCUCAGGAAUCAAAACUCCAUCUUACUUUCUCAAGCAAAAUAUGUUCAAGACUUGCUGGACAAAAUAAAGAUGACAGAUUGCAAGGGAAUAGAAACACCAUUCAACACCUCUGAGAAAUUAAAGAAAGAUGUUGGAAAUAAAUUUCAUGAUCCCACACUCUAUAAGAUUGUCAUAGGAAGCUUACAAUAUGUAGUACUGACUAGGCCAGAGCUUGCUUUUUCAGUAAAUAAGCUCAGUCAGUUUAUUUUAGAUCCCAGGCAACCACAUUGGGUGGCAUAUAAGAGAGUGCUGAGGUAUCUCAAGAACACAAUGAAUAUGUGUCUUUGGUUUAAAAAAUCUGAGCAUUUGGAUCUCAUUGCCUACACAGAUGCAGAUCGGGCAACUGAUCCAGACGACAUAAGAUCUAUAAGUGGAUACUGUGUGUACUUGGGAGCUAAUCUAGUUGCUUGGAGCUCAAGAAAAAAAUGCAUAGUUGCAAGGUCCACUGCAGAAUCAGAAUAUAUAGUGAAAUUACAUGGAUAAAUUCUUUACUUGGUGAGUUGAUGAUGGAGGUUGAAAAUGUACCAAUUAUCUUGAGUGACAGUACCAGUGCAGCAGCUAUAGCAGCAAAUCCAGUGUAUCACUCUAGAACAAAACAUUUCGAGAUAGAUCUUCAUUUUCUCAAAGAUAAAGUCACAAAAGGAGAAUUGGAGAUAAAUUAUGUUGGCAGCAAUGAUCAAAUUGCAAAUGUGUUAACCAAGCCAUUACCACACUACAAGUUCAGCUGCUUUAAGAACAAACUCAAAGUCAUUGACAAGACCUUAAGUUUGAGAGAGGAUGUUGAAAGCAGCAACUGUGAAGGGUCAAAGGUUGACCUUGAAGCCAAACUGGCAUGCCACCUAAGCUACUUUGAUUUGUAGCCAGCUGAUGUGGAAGAUGAGUCGAAUUUAUUGAGCUGACAAAACUGUUAUGCUAAAGAAUAUCAGCACAUGAGCAUGGAGAAGUUGAACCUUCUAGAAACAUAAUAUGAUUGGUUCAUGAUUGUUAUUUUCACGAAUCAUUUUUAUUUAUUUCCAUGUAAUACCCCUAUGCUAGCUGUCAUUAUUUCUUUGUUUCUAUAUAAACCAGAAUGGCUCUGUAUUUCAAUUCAUUCCAGUCAGCAAUAAGAAAAGAGGCUUGGUUAUUACACUCUGCUUGCAUUACUGAAAGCAAUUCUUAAGAAUUUAAGUCUACUCACGGAUUAAAACAUUAAUUGCCAAUAAAAAAAUACAUGAUAGAUAAUACAAAUUAAUGUUUCUUUCUUUUCUUUUUGGUUAAGAUAAGAUAAAUAUAAAUGCUGCAGUUAUAAAAUUCAGUGUUGUAGAGCAUCGAAAUACAGCACAUGCAUUUAUGCUGGAUUAGCUUAUGACAAGGUGUCCACAUAAUCAAAAAAAUGAGGAAAUAUGGAGGAUAAAUCUAUAAUAAAAAGCACGACAUAAACAAGAGUUACUCACUCUGUAUCCACUGAUAAGAGAUGUUGGGUGAAUCUUAUUCCUCAUCGGAUCAUUUGCCCUCUGCAAAAUGUACGGUCGGAUCAUAAAUUGCCAAGUCUGCAUACUCUCCAAUAUCAUAAAUCUCCUACUAAUCCAUCUGAGUUUAAAGCUGAGUGUAGACAAUGUAUUAGCCUCUAGAAACACACUAAGCUUCAAUUACCUUCAGAAACUCUGCAGAACCGAUAGCCACAGAUGUUGUUCCAUCCCCAGCUUCCCUAUUUUGAAGCUCAGACAACUCCACAAAUACCUGCCACCUCAUAAAAGAAAAAAACAACCACGAGGAACGGGUGAAGGGAUAAAGAACCAAAGCAAACACACACACACCCGCACAAAACUAUAGAUAAGAGAUCCAAGAGAGAAAAAUGUGCAGCUGGAUGCUCAACUUCUAACAUCUUGAGAAUCGUAGCACCGUCAUUAGUUAUUGUUGCUUCACCAAUAUCAUCAACAAGCAACUGCAAUAUAAUCAACUCACUCACUAAGCUCAAAUAAAUAAGCCACUCACAGUUCAUGUGUUUCUAUAAAUUAUGCAAUUUCUAAUGAAAAUUACCCUGUCGAGUCCAACAGGACCGAGUAAUGAUUUGAAAAUGUUAGCAACUACUUGACACGCCACCACUAUACAAAGAAAAUGAAUGAACGAUAUUUUAUGAAGCCUUUUUUUUUUUGGCAAAACAUUGUUCAAAUUAAUAGAGAGAGAAGGGGAGUAACGUUUUGAGUGCAAACAUCUUGACCGGAUUGGCGAUAUUAAGUCUCCAUUAGGGGUUUCGAACUACUGAGCAACAAUAACCAUGCCUCUAGAAAAUUAGAAUAACUAAAAAUGAUAAAGGAAACUAAAAGUUGACAGAAUACUGACAAAAAAAAAUAAUGCAUGGUCAAUGAUAAAAAUAACAAAAAUAAUAUUAUACUCAGAAUUGCGUCCUUUCAACCGUCAAUGGAUCAGAGGUGUGAAGACCAAGUUUACAGGGCUGAAUCCACCAAUGGCAUUUUUUCAAUAAAGUCUGCACAUCACGCAAUUUCUAAUUAGAGUCAGGGCGUGGUGGAUCAUGUCCGGAGAUUAGCUUGGAGUUGGCAAGGUCCACAGUGUAUUCGCCUAUUUAUCUGGCUCGUGUUACAUGAUCGUUUAAAGACCAAGGCUGAGCUUAUGGGGAGGUAUAAUUCAACAGGGAGUGUUUGUGAUCGUUGUGGUGAGAGUCUUGAAAGUGCACUACAUGUACUCCGCGAUUGCAUGGUGGCCUAAAGAGUUUGGAACCGUGUCAUCCCCGCGCCUUACCGACAAGUUUCUACUCUUCCAAUCUUAGGGAGUGGAUGAGUAAGAAUUUAAAGAACAAUUGGCCUUUUAAGAAGGAGGUGAACUUGAGGUGUUUCUUUGGAGAUGCUAUCUCGAGACUCUGGUUUUGGCGUAAUCAACUUCUAUUUAAUCACUAUUCUUUGGAUAGUGAGUACAUGGUCAAUGAUAUUUUUUAUGAGGGCUGAGGAAAUUCAGCAGCUAAAUGAUUCACCAUUGCAUUUGGGAGUUUGCAAAUUGGAGAGAUGGAUCGCAUGGAGUCCCUUCACUUGGCCUUGGUGCAAACUUAACACAGAUGGUGCUGCUAAGCGGUCUGGCGAAUCUAGUGCUGGUGGUUUUAUUCGUGAUAGUAAUGGGAAGUGGAUUGUUGGCUUUGGCAUGCGCUCUUGCUCUGUUACAGUGACUGAGCUUUGGGGAUUAUAUCUAGGCUUGACUCUUGAGCAUUGCUUGGCAAAGGGGAUUCCGUUGGUUGAAAGUUGAGGUGGAUUGUUUAUGUGUUACUCGGUUGCUAAUCCAUUGGUUUCGGCUAAUGAAUACACCCCGUUAGUUAAAUCUAUCAAGGAACUCUUGAAGCGAGGCUGGUUAACAUCACCAUCAAUCAUUUGUAUAGUGAAGCGAGUUUUGCCGCAGAUUUCUCAGCUAAUUAUGCCCUGCCUCUCCCAUAGGCUGUCACCAUUUCAAUGUUCUCCCUACUGAUUUGCUCCCUUUCCUCAAGCAUGAGCAUGAAAUGUACGGGGUUGCCUAUUCCCACCUUGUCCUUCUUUAGCUAUUUUUAAGAACCCCGUUGUACCAAAAAUAAUAAUAGUACAUCCGAAAUAAUUUUUUGUAUUAAUUAAUUAUUUUUCUAUUAAUAAGAUAAAUCGUUUUGGGUGUACUUCCGUUUUUUUUUCAUCUAAUUACCACUUCUUCUGGAAACACAAGUAAUACAUAAUAGAUUUUACCAUGCUAAGCACAAUUUUAUUAGUAACGUCAACGGCAAUAGCGGUCAGAGGGUAAUAGUAUUUUAGAGAGAAAAUGAUUCUUAACCCAAAAUAUUAAGAGAAAACAAUCGUUUUACUAGAGUUCCCUUAUUGACUUUGAUUGUGCAAGCCCUUCUGUUUGUCUCGUAAGAUUUUAUUUGACUUUUUUAUAUUUUUGGUUUGUCUCGUAAAUUAGUUAGAUACAAAUUCUCAUAUCAUUUUUUGUUAACAAACUAGAUUAUGGGAGGAUUUUUUUAUUAAAAAAAAUAUUAUGCAAUUUUUUUUCAAGAAAUUGAUCACGAGAGAUGUAAAAAAUUUAGCCCAAAAUAUAGAUCAUUUUAAUAUGGGGGAAAAAACACUCUUAAAAUUAUUUUAAGUUGGUUAUGUAUAACCUUUUUAUUGUACAAUUGUCCUUAUAAAGAAUGCAGUUAGGACUCAGUCACUUUGGGUUAAGGGCGCAAUUGCCAUCUUGUUCGGCCAUUUUCUGAAUCCAACUGAUUUAUUUAUAUCUAAUCAAAUCAUGGGGUCUGGGUGGCUUUUUUCCCUUUAGUAAAGUAAGUUGUUCCGGCCGAUCAAGGAGAAAUCAUGAAGAUUUUAUUUCCGAGGAUUAGUAUAGAGAAUAUUAGAAGAUUUUUAAGAAAGAGUGAUGCUAUUAGCACCUCUCCAAACUCCUUAUUAAAUCCCUUUUAUUUGUGUUUACAAUUCUAACCCUAAUGUUGAAUGACACCCCUUCUUUCCCAACUAGGGUUUACUGGUUUUCAAUUUUCAUGGACAGUAAAAAUACAGCUAUUGCCUGUUGCAUAUGUCCAAAUAAAUUGACAAAUAAAAAUUUCAAGAUCUACAUCAAGUUAGAUAAAAUAAAUAACUAAAAGUGUUCGCACUAAAAUUUCACACGUUGACGUGGUUGGGUGCGAUGAGGUAAGACCUUGAUGAUGUCUUUGUACUAAAUAGGUUUUUGACCAAUAGGAAUCAACAUUUUUUUUAGCCUUAUUAGUUUACUUACUCUCUUACUCCAAGCACAAAACAAAUUAGGGGAUUAACUGUUGUGUCCUAUUUUACCGAUCACAUGCAUCGGGUAGGUAAACCUAAUAUGACAAUAAUUAAGAUAUUAUUCUCUAACUAAAACUGGGAGUAAUUGAUGCACAUGUCAUCCUUUUGAAAUAUUCAAAUGCAACACUAGUUCAAUCCUUUUGAAAUAUUCAAAUGCAACACUAGUUCAAUGAGGACUUCUUAUAAAAGGACCUCUCAAUCAUAAGGUAAGUAUUUUGGUAUGGAGACACUCAAAACAAAAGUCGGGAACUCUCUCUCUCUUUUUCAAAGCUGUUAUUGAUGUAAUUUUCAAUCUCUAACUUAAGUAUUGGAGGUUUUUGCUGGCAACAACACUCGCACCGUUAAGAUUUUCUUAUUUUUCAGAUGAGGAGUAUUGGUCUAAAGAUCAAAACCUUUUUUUUUACAAACACAUCAUCAAAGUUUGAACUCAUCACACCCAAUCAUGUUAACGUGCGAAAUUUUGGUGUCAACAAAAAGAAUAGAGAAAAAUUCCAUCAAUGAAAAAUAAACAUUUCAUUUGAAGAGAUUAUAAAAAGGACUUUAAAAUAUUAUAUUUGAAUUCAAGUUUGUUAUUAAAGAACUCAUUUUUAAUGAAUUGCCUCAAAGUUUUUUUUUUUUUUUUGUGGAACAAGUGAAUUUUGAUCUUUGAAAAGAAAUGAAUUAAUGGGUAUCUUAUAUUCAAAUAGUAGGCAUUUUUGUCACAAAAUAGAAAGAUAAUUAAGUUAAAAUGGGGAAAUUUAAAGUUACAUCUCAUUCCAUCCUUUUUGUUAAUCAAAUUUACGAAGAUUGGUUAUGAUUAUGGUGUCAGCAUCUGCAGAAAGAGAGGUUUUUUUUCCUCCCAAUUUUAUCAUUUUAUAAGAAAUAAAAUUGGAGGGUAAUUAUGGAACAAAGAGGGGUAUUUUCAGAAGUGAUAUAAUUUUUCAUUUUUGAUUGCGUGUAAUUUAAAAGGGUUUUGAAAGGAUUUUGAAUGAUGCUAGUAGUUCCACUCUUUAAGAAAAUCUUGUUUUUUCUAUUGGGUUCCACACACCUUACAAAUGUGGCCUAAGAUAUUAUUUAUUUAUAUAUGGGCAUAAAUUAAAUCCCCAGCCCAACUAUAUUGUAUUUACAAUUAUUCUUUUACUGGUAGUAAAAGAAUUACACUUGGUACGUGUCCUGUUUAUUUCGGCCCACGUCUCAAACAAAAUUUUAGUUGUUCUAACCGUGCCUCCCUAGUCCCUACAUCUUGCUUGGAGCAGUAUAUUCCAUCUUCAUGCAUAACAGAUGGGGUCGUCGACUCCUUCUGUAAGAAAUUAGGGCUUCUCAUUUUCAUAUUCAGACCUCAUUUUCUUGAAAUCAAGGGCACCAGCGCCCCGCAUUGAGUUGGCAGAACCAAGCGAAAGCUUGGUCUUCGUUGUCGUCGUCGUGUUCUUCUCCUCAUUCUUGCAAAAUGGUAUUGGCAUAUACCAUAAUUUGCAAUUCUUCUGCUUCGCCACCUCUCUUGUUUCUGUUAUAUUGUCAUCAGAUGCUCCCACUUGGUAAUUUAGCACCAGCAAUGAAAGAAUUGUCAAGAUCAUUAGCCUUGAUGUGAACUUGGAGACGGUAGCCAUUAUUAAUUCUAUUCAAAUAUAUAUUCAACUCAACUCUUAUUAAUAUAUUUUUUUUUUGGGGCGAUUAGUUUUUUUAUUCUGACUUCAGGGCUUUAUAUAGAUUUUUUGAAUGGCAUUCUAACUUAACACUUGGAUUUCAAUUUGGAAGUCUUGACCUUUUCUGUUUUGGGUUAAUUUGGGAUUAUACCUUGAUAAUAAGAUUGUGUGGUAUGAGCUUCUACCUUAAAUCUUUUGUGUGGUUUUUAGUGAUUAUUUCCUAAUAAUAAGAGAUUUUUUAGGGACCUUUAUAGGGUCAAGAAUGAAGAAAAAUUAACCUCUAAAUUCUUAACCGGUGAGGAUGUAUUUACUGAUUAGCACUUCCUUGCAUUAUAUAUGAAUCAAGAAUUGCAUUAUACAUAAAUCAAGAAAAUGAUUACAUAUAAGCAUAUAUUAUCUAAUUUAAUUAGUGAUUUUUUUUUGUUUUAGCUUAAUCAUUUUUCCUUUAUAACUACGUGUAAAGAGAAAAUAAGAUGUAAUUAUUUUAUAAAUAAAAAAUAAAAAAUGUAAAUAGCCUACAUUUUAUAGAUUACCUUAAAAUGUAAUAUUAUUAUUAUAAUGAAAGAGUUACAAACUUCUGUACAAAUUGAUAUGACAUGAUUAAAUUGGUUGGAUUAUAUAUCUUUUGAUGCACACAAUUUUUUUUAUUUUAUAUUUUCAUCCAAUUAAUCAAUUUCUUUUAGUAAAUUAAACCAUAUGGUAUCCGAAAACCAAUUAGUCAAUUUAUGCCACAUCAGCAUAUCAGUUUGUACAAAAAUUAAUGGCUUUAUUAACACUCAUAUUAUUAAGUCACGAAGAUAUGAAAACAAGCACGACAGUCAUGAUAAUCACUAUGGUAGCUUUAGAUAUUGGUGAUCCAAAGAUGUUGCUUCUAUAAGAGACUGAUACAAUGUUUUAAUGAAUAAUGAUGAUUUUUAUAUUUAUAAUGAUGUUAUAAUAGCUAACGAUAAUUCACUUAAAUUUAUUGUAUUUUUCUAUAUUUGUCUUUUUUAUAUAUGUAUUGUUAAAAAAAAAAAAAGAGGAUUAUUUAUCAGGUAGGGAAUAGAGAAACGGGGAUCUCUAUUUUCACUCUAUUAAAUUAUUGGGAAAUUUUGAUUAAAAUAGUAAAUGCGGUAAAGGAUGGAGAAGACCUCUAUCCAUUAUCAUGUCCCUAAUGUGGUAUGUCAUAAUAUGAGAUUUGGAAUCCGAUGGAUAUUGCGCUAAGUAAAAUAUAAAGUUGUCAUAUCCCUAAUGGAUAUAAAAUUUAAGCUCUAGAUGAUCUUUAAUGGAAGUUCAAGUGUGUUGAGUGCUGGAGAGUGUAUAUUUAUAAAAGAUAAAAUCAUCAUUUUACACUUUAAGUCUCACUAACAUCUAUAUUUUUAUAUAUUUAAGUCCCUUGAACUUUAAUUGUAUGUAUUUUUUUAUAAUUUGAGUAUUUUAGGAAUAUUUUAGUCAUUUCAUGAUUAAGAGAAAUUGGACAGUAGAAUAGAUAGCAUUUUUGAGCUCAUAAUAACUAAAAACCUUAAGAAAAGCAUAAAAGGUAAAAUUACAGUUUUAGGAUGUAUGUCAAUUUUAGUUGGUCAGCUAACGUGGCAUUGACUGAUGAUGUAGCAGUAUCCUAUUUAACCUAUAUACAUGUUUACUGUUGACUAAUGAUGUCGUGACAUAUUCUUCCAUCGAAAAUGUGCCCAUGUUACAUGCAAUACACUGAAUCAAAGCUUAUUGACUUUUGUGUUGUUAAAUGACGGGACAAUAUAUUAUUAGACUGAAAAAUGCAUGUAUGUUACAAUACAAUACACCAAAUCAUAGUCUUGAUAACGUGUUCCAUCUAAUUAGAGCUUGUCAUAUGGCGCAAUCAUGUGCGCUCAAAUUGUUUUCAUCUGAUGACUAUGAUUUACCCAUUAUAUCUAUAAAUACAGGGCUUUCCCCCCCUAAAUUCAAUAGCUCUAAAUCCAAAUUUAAGCUCCAUUUUGUAUAACUCAUACUCUAUCUUAUAUUUUUACAUAUUUUAAUAUAGAAUUAUCAUUUUAUCCCUAGUUGAAUUAUGAGUGGCUAAUAUAAUUUCAAGCAUGGUUGAAGGUAAAGUCUCAAUACGAUCCAUGUACUUAAUUUGGUAAGUUUAUUCACCAUUUCUCUUUGAUUUAUGAGAAUUGUCUUGACUCAUCGUUGACAGACAAUAAAUUUGUCUAGAUUUUGCAAGGUAUACCGGCCCCCUAGUGCAAGAUCAUUACUAUUUGGCAUGAUGAGCACUUUACAAUAUAUUUAUUAGAGAAAAAAACUCUCCUCUAGUACUUGUGUUUUGUCUUAACUCAGUGUUGACAAAGAGUGUAUCUAAGUUAUUUAGUGGACGAUCUUGCCAUUUUAUUGAUAGAAAGUUUGUUAUCACUCGGCAUAAUGUGUACUUGACACUACAUUUCGCAGAAGAUUACUUCCCACUGGCACAGUGAGUGUUUGAUAUCAUAUUUACUAAAAUGAGACUUAUGAGGAGUAUAAAUACUCUCUUUAUAAAUUAAUUAGAAUUAAAAAGAAAUAUUAAGCUCAGUGUUGAGUGUGAAUCUAGAAAAUCAAGUGAUUCAUUUGCAUUGUUUCAUCUUUAAUUUAUUCUUGUCAUUUUUUUUUAUCUUAGUACUGCUAAAAAAAUUACAUCCUACCAAUUCGCAAACAAACUUGGAAAAUUAACCAUAUACGUGAUUAAAUCUACAUUCUCGUGGGAUCGACACUCAUCACCAUAAAUCAAUAGUAAACACCAACAAACUGGUUUGUUCCUUGUUGUGGAAGUAAGAGAUCAAGAAAUACAUAGUUCUCCCACCAAUCUCAAAUGAGAUAGUUUUUUAAUUUUUAUAUUAUGCUUAUAUAUUUGGUGGGCGAGAAUCAAGGUGUGUGAAAGAUGAAAAAAGCAAAAAAAAACUUAUAUAUGAUAAAUAAAUAAAAUAUUAACAAUAAUAGAUAAAGACUUGAAACACGUAUUGAAUACGCUUUCCUUAAAGUGUUAAUUGCCUCCUCUUGGUAGAGAUUGCUUAUGGGUUUGUUGGUAAGUCGCUUUCAGGAUAUGACAAGCCUUUAAUGUGAAUAUGUAGCAAGCAAAAAUGAAGAAUUCACUAAGAAAAUAUAAACACUUUAUAUCCAGCAAAUUUUUUUUUAUGAUGCCGUAAGAAAUUAUAAGGACAAAGCUUAUAAAGAAUUGGAUUAUUGUUGAAAGUCAUCUCUCUUGUCCUUAUAUAGACUUUUAAAACCGACACGCCACCACCAAACAUUGUGAUUUUGCAAUACCUACCAUCAAGCAUUGUGACUUUUCAUAAUUAAAUUUUAUUCUUAUUUGACCAAAACACAACAAUAUAUAUAUAUAUACACACACACACACUCUUUAGCGAUUUUAGUAGAAAUAACUUAGAAUUAAGAAAUAAAUAUAGCCCUUGUUUGUUGCGAAAGUUCACACCUUUAAAAUAUGAAUUCAAACCUAGACAAAAACUGUCCACAAAAUUGAAAGGCUUUGGUAAAAUUGAGAUAAAAAGUGGUUGCGAAAUUGAAUAUUAAAAGGGGGUAUUUGAUCUUUCUGGUUAAAAACAAUACAAACUAAGGGGAAAUUGGCAAAUAUUUAUCGAAACACAAACAUUCAAGUAUACAGUCACGCUAGUUCUUAUUGGUGUUGAUUUAUACACCCGAAUGAGUUACAACAUCUCAUUUAAAAAAUGAAGUAAUAAUAGUACAGCCACAAACAAAUUAAACGAAUCAAAUCACAAAACAAACUUACCACUCUUGACCCAAAACAAACAAACAAACAAAUUAAAAGAAAACGAAAUCACAAAACAAAUCACUGGCCGAUUGAAUUGCAUGCUGCUCAAGGAUUCAGCACCUUCUUCCCGCCGUCCUUCGCCGGGCCCCAUACAUUUUCCGAGAACCAGUCGCCGGCCUUUUUAGCAUCGUUUUCUAUUUUGUCUUUGCACAGUUCCGCAGAAGCUUGGCAUGGACUAUUGGCCACCCCUUUUUUAUCGAAUAAACCACCCUCCGCAUGGUUUAAUAGCAGCAUGCUAAGAAUUGCCAAACACAAUAGCCUUGAGACUCCCAUGAUUAAUUUUUGUUAAUUAUUAUUUCGUUAUGUAUUUUCAUGUUGAGGGCAAGAGUUAUUUAUAUAGAUCUUGCAUAUGUGGCUGUAAUUUUGGGAAUUAAUUAGUUAAUUUUAAUCAAGGGAGUGAUAUCAGACUUUUUCCAACUAUAUUUCAGGAAAUUUUAGUUUAAAAAAAAUAUAUUAUUGUGUGGUUGAUAUAAACGAAAUUGUGCGACCAGUAAUCAAUAUUACAUUUUUCGAAGUUGAGAUCAGAUUUUGUAUCACAAAUUUGGUUAUUAGUCUAAUUAAGUGGGGUUGUUUAUUUAUUUAACCUUAAAUUUUACCCCUCUAUUAAUUACUAUUUGAACUCGGGUAAUCUCAUACGCAUAUUGCAUUCUCUAUUAUUACUCAAAUUCAGGCGACCACAUACACAAAACACAAUCACAGCCAGUCAAACUAUGUCCAAGGUUUAAUUGAUUAAAUUAUUUUUUUAUUUUUUAUUUUUUUUAUUUUUUUUAUUUUUGCCAUUUGCAAACUAGCUAUUUAAGUUUGUAUCUUCAAGCUUAAUGGUAUUCUUCAAAUGAUUUUAAUUUUUUCCAACCAAAGGAAUUUGGUAUAUCUUCUUGCUCGACAAUAUUUGUGGACCAACAAAAGAUGAUUUUGAUCUCUCGGAUCGAAUAAAUUAAUAUAAAGGCUUAUUUGGCAAAUUUUACAAGAACUCAAAAUUUUCAAAAACCAACAAUAUUUCAAUUUCUAUUCUUAAUUAAAAGGAAGAAUGACUCUUUUGUCCUCAUAGAAAUCUUUUAUACCUUUUGUGUCUGUUACAAAUUUUUGAUCCCUCAUUUCAUCUUUGACAUUAAACCGAACACAAAUAUGACACUUUCAAGGAUAAACAUUACCUCUUAAAUGAUUUAAAAUAGCACUGCACACGUUAGCCUUUAUUUCUUUAUUUUUAAAUGUAAAAACAUAAAAGAGCCAAUAUCAUUAGCAUUUAACGAUUUCUUUAAUUAUAGCGAUAUAUACGAAGUUCAACACGUUCAAUUUUUCAUAGUAUGAUUUUUUGAGUUCAUCACAUUUCGAGACUUGGUAAAUACGCUGCAGAUAGAUUAACUAAAUUUAUUUUAAUUUUGGUGUUUAAUAUGGGUGGAGUAUUUUCCCACUCAAAACUUUAAUUUCUCGUAACAUUUGAGAUCUUUUCCCGAAAUGUAGUGAAUUUCAUUAAAUAAAAUGAUGUUAUUAAAUUAAACGUUUCAUAAUAACUUCAUCAUUUUCAUUACAUUAGCAGGAAUUAAUGAUUGGAAAAAAAAGUACAAAAUAUUAGCAAAUGGGGCCUCCAACAUUCAUAAUUCAAUUAACUUGAAGUUUUUCCAUGGGGCUAAUCACCUCUGCAACGGUGGAGUUUUUACCAGUCUUGGCUGUAGCGAUCUUGAUUUUCUUCCUUUUAAUCAUUCUCUUUGUUCUUAUAGUCAUCUGGAGGUGACUCCGUGCAGUUGCUAUUAAAUAAAUAUUUAGGUAGCAUUUACUCAUUGGAUUAGAGUGAGAAUUUUAGGAUUGGAAGUAUGUUGUUUACUUAAUGGAAUGAGAAUGUGAAAUAGAAAUCAAAAUCGCAUUUAUAUCUUUACUUUAUUUUAAAUUCGGGGUGAAUCGUUUGAAAGUACAAUUAUCUCAUUUUUUAAAG
rnacentral:lncRNA from 1 species